UUACAGCGAGUUAUACAUCGUUUCCGUAAUUAAGAAAAUAAGGCGUGCUUAUUAGAGCAUGAAUCCGCUAUGUCACUAUGUGUGUGUAAUUUGCAUGGAUGUGGAGUAAUGUUGUGUUGUGUGUGGUAGCAGGCCGCAGCUAGCUUUGAGAUAAUAGCAUUUGUAUGUAUGGCUAAAUUCGAAUAGGCCUUUCGGCCGGAUUGAAGGUGUGUGACUAUAAAUGAUACCGCUAAGUAGUAAGGUUUGCUGGUCUCGUCCGUCUAUCUACACUUUCUGCUUUUCUUUUCGUGGCCUUGUAGGCACGUUGGCACAGCCGUUUCCAUUUGUCUUUUACAGGCUUAAUUAAUACUCCAUUCGUUUUAAAAUAAGUGUCCUUAAUUUUAUGAGCUCUUUUACAGUGAUUGGGGAGUUACGAUUUAUAAUUUUAUGUAACUCCACCUUUGAUUAUUUCUAGCCAUUGGAUCUGGGAAAAUUAUUUUAAGAUUUAUUUUUUUCUAAAAGGGUAUAAUAGUACUUGAGUCGCUCGUCCGUUUCCGUUCCUCACGGCAUGUUCAGAGGCCGUCCCCACGCACGAAUGAAUCGGUUUCUCCGCAUAGCCGCCGCACAUCCCGCUCGUAGACGGGUAGCUUGGUGCGCCGUUUAGAUCAUCCCCACGCGGCGACCCCGAUCCAGAAGAGAAGCGGCAGUCCGCGACCUUGUUGUCACUCCUCCGCCAAGGUUCCGGCCGGUCGUGGCGCAUCCAAUCCGCGUGCCGGCCGGCCCUGUACGCCAUCAUCGAGAACUUCGUCGCCAAGGCGUGGAACGGCUCCGGCCUCUUCCCUGACCCAUGCGGCCAGACCGCCAUCCAGGUUCCUCUCCCCCACAACCCCUUUUUCUUUACCUCGUCUUCAGCUCUUGAUUGAUUUAUGUUGGCUUCAACUUUGAGUAAUGGAGGAUUGGAAAACACCAAAAUUUGUUCUUUUUUCAGGAAUUAAUCAAUCCCCAGUUCAGUUCCUGCUCUACAUUUUCAUGUUUUGGGAUUCAGUAUAAAUCGUUGCUCACAAGGAUUGCUUGCACGUCUAAUUAAUGGAACUGCUGCUCUACACCAUACGUCGGAUACCCUACUGCCUUAGUCAGCGCCGGCGACCUUCCCGCACACUAAAGGUAGGUGCAUACAUGUUGUGUAGGAGAUGAUGGCAGCAAACUUUCAGCUACAAGGGGUUUCGUGGUAGGGAACUAUUGCGGUUGUGGUCCUAUUAUCAAGUUGUAAUCCCAGCUGAAUAGUAUUUUAUUCUCUGUAACUAAUCAUGUUUUUGUGGUAUAGGAUGAUGGAAACAGUCCCGAUUGUGUGGGCAUAUGCAUAUGGUUCGUGUACAUAACAGUCUGAACUGGCCUUGCCAUCGAUCUAAUCUACAACUUUUGUAUCAUGCGCUGUUAGGUACUGCUAUUUUUGUGGUAGUAUUAUUUUCUUCAAGUAUUCCAUUCUCUGUAACAAAUUCUGCUAGUGAUUACAGUUUACUUGCCAUGAAGCCUGAGCAGUGCAUCUAUAUCCUUAUAUAAUAGCUUAUUAAUCAUGCUUUCUACAAAUUUUAGUGCUCAAAGAUAAUAAGACUGGACCUUGAAAGUGGGUAGAGAGCAAAUGAAAUUUUGCCAUCAGAAUGUGAUACUUCAGUACAAACGUCCUUUAAUGAUAUUUGCUGUUCUUAGGGAAUGGGGAUCUAUCUUUCGUUUAAAAUAUCUACUCCUAUUGAUUUGUAUUGACUGGAACUUAGUAGAGUUGGACUUCACGGAUUUACAAGGUUGCUGCCUCAUUUAUUUAGGAAAAUGUUACUAAUACUUCUGACCAAAAGUAGGACUAAUGUUCUGUGUGGGCGUCCAUGAUGGACGUUGCAGUGCAGGGCCUUGUUUCAACGGCGGCAUUUUGAGGUCAUGUACAUAUGAAGAUUGGAAAUAGUGUUGGUGAUGUGGAAACUGAUCUGAAUGGGAUGUAUUUGGGAUCAUACCAGGUUUCCCUGCUACUAUCUCUACAGAGAUGGGCGAGCGACGCCGCAGUUUCUUGUUCUUGCAGAUGCAUUAUUGGAUCAUUUCUUCUGACUAUAGUGAAUGCCUAAUCUUACGGUUAUAUGAGCAGCAUUGUUCUGAUGAACUAGGCCGUGUGGUUUUCCAUCCAUGUAGCUUGAUUGUAUUCUUCAAAUGUGGCAGAGUAACGAGUUGCAUUUUUUUGUGGGUUUGUGUGUGUGUAUUGGGGGUUGUAUUGCUCGCCUUGUGGUUUACAGAAAUUUAGACGGGCGCAUGACCUUGUUGGGCGUUGUAUUGCUGGGGCUCCUGAAGAUUGAUAAAGUUGGGGUUGCUAGAUUGCACGCCUAUUCUUGUCAUUGCCUCGUUAUAUAUUUUGCUGGUACAUAAUACAAUGAGAUCACAAUUCCGCUAAGCAAAGAAUAAUGUUUGGUGGGUAAGUACAGUUCUGUCAUAGAUUUGAUCCCUGUUCUGCGAAAGAAAAACAUUCCAAAAUUGUAAAGUAAAUGUCACUAAGGAUACCCUUCGUCCCGACAUGAGUGAAAACACACGGAAGUACGUACCGAUGUUAGUCAUUCGGGCCCACAAGUAAUGAUCUUAGUCGGCUGGACCUACAAGUACCGGUCUUACUCGUUUGGGCUCACUAGUAUCGAUCUUAGUCAUUUAGGCCCAUGCGUACUGAUCUUAGUUGUUCGGGUCAACAAAUGUCGAUCUGAGUCAUUCGGAUCGACAAGUACAGAUCUUAGUCGAUCAAGCCUACAAGAACUGACCUUAGUCCUUCUAGACCCACAAGCACCGAUCUUAGUCGCCUAGAUGACCCGUAGUGAUAGUGUUGUGUCAAGACACACUGAAGUGCUAGUCGAGGGACCCGACGAUCCACUCCGCUAGUUGUGUCGAGACUACUUGUUAAGGUAGUUGUGGGUCCGGAUGACCGGUAAUGCUAGUUGUCGGUCCAGACAACCCAUGCUAGUAGUUCUGGGUUCGAUGACCCUUAGUGCUAGUUAUGGGAUCAAACUACCAAUAGUACUAGUUGUGGGUCUGGACGACCCAUUGUGGUGCUUGUGGACCCGGACGGUCCAUACUUGAAGUUCUAAGUUCAAAUGACCCGUAGUAGUGAUUGUAUACCUGGAUGACCCAUACUUGUCGUUCUGGGUUCAAACUACGCAUAUGUAGUCGUGGGAUCGAACUACCCAUAGUGCUAAUUGUGUGCCCACAAGUACCACUAUGGGUUGGGCCACCAAUACUACCUCGUGCCCCUUUACGUCGUCCGGACCACCAAUGCCACUACUAGUUACUCUGGAUCGUCCGGGCUAACAAAUACCACUACGGAUCACUCUGGGUCAUGGAGCCCACACAUACCACUACGAAUCACUGGGCUAGCUCACAAGUACCGAUCAUAGUCGUCUGAGGUCAAAAGUAUCGUCCUUACUUCUCUGGGCACACAAGUACCGUUCUGAGUCGUCGAGACUCGGAAGUACCACUAUGAGGCGUUCGGGCACACAAGUAUGGAUCUUACUCGUUCAAGCUCAUAAGUAUGGAUCUUACUCGUUCGAGCUUACAAGUAUAGAUCUUAGUCGUUCGGGCCCAUCUUAGGGUGCAGGGGGUGGAACAGGGAGUAGCAUCUCCCCCUUGUCUAUUUUGGAGUGGGGGUGGUGCUGGUUCGCCGAAGAAUUUCAAGGGGUUAGUACAUUUAGAGGGAUGGCCGGGGCGGCUGCUGCACGGCGGUGGGGAGAGGUUGAUGGGAGGGCGGGGCGGCGAAAAGAACACCCCGCAAUCAGGCACUUGUCUUCAGUCGUUCAACGUUCACUAGUUCAGGCUUAGGGGAUGUACCUCGGAGCAUGCCUUGCUCACUUCAAGUAUGAAACUCUGUUCUCAUGUAUGUUGAUAGCGUUAGUCUGAACAAACACCACUUCAAUUCGAGCAUCAUCGCAGAGAUUUGAUCCCUGUAAACAUGCCAUAAUGCAAUUUGUUUCACUCGAUAAACAUCAUUGGUUCCUAGAUUCCUGUCCGGACUCUAAAAUUUAUUGUACAUGACAUAUGUUCGCAAGAAAUGAAAGUAAACUACAUGAAAUGGAUUGACCAUAAUCUGACAGCGUCCAUGACAUACAAUACAAACUGUGAAACUCCCUUCAGUGACAUUAUAACAUACAUUAUUAUUCCCGUAAGUUGCCACUGGAUCAAAAGCGUUCUCCAAGUAUUUGAAACAAGAAGUUCAGCCUCUAUACAAACUAGGAACUGAUGGAUAGUUAUCAGCAAAAAUAUGGACCGGGGAUUGCAGAAUCGAUGGAAGAAGCAGCUGCUGGUUCCUGCUUGCCAGUAAUUUACUCAUCCUUGAAAAACAGAGAAUGGUUAGUAAAGCAAUUUGAAAAAAGGAGAGUUUUGUUUCAAGAAGAUUAACAACAUGCACUCAUCUUUUUUUGCUGCUAGCACAUUUGGAAGACUGCAACAACGUGGCCUUCAAAGUUGAUGACGACGUUGCUCCCCCUACGUUGUGACUUUUCUAAGAUAAUGUCAAGCUUUGAAAUGCUCCUUUUUUUUGCCAACUUAUUUUUAAUGUAAAGACAAAUCAAAUAAGCCUUGUAAAUUCAGGCGGAUGGAGUACAUUGAUUAGGAUACAUUAGUUAUCCUUGAAGAAAGAUGUCUACGAAAGUAUGGAUACUUACAAAAAGACAUUCACCAAAACUGGUAUUUGGCACUAUAAGUGAAAGACAUUUAAUACUUCGGUAGAACUCGACAUGUGGCUAUGAUACAAAUUUUUUUGGGAGGUUGUGGCUAUGAAAGAUUAUUGGAAAUAAGGUAUGGGUUAUGACAUAAAAAAGGAGUUCACUUUCACUAGUUUUUUGACCCGAACCUGUAGGAAUUUCUUCCCCAGAGCAUAAUUUGUAGAUUUUUCCUUCGAAGGAGCUCUGUGGUGUUCAGCAUGUUGUUAUUCAACAACCAGAAAAAGAAUUUAUGUUUCAGUUGAGUGCAGGCUUUCCAAAGCCAGGCAAUAGCAGGAAUGGUUGUAGUCUCCCGAAUGAGAAUUUUAUAGGCCUUGGCAACUGUGAAAGUCAUGGCAGCAGAGGGGUAUUGCUAACUGUCAGCUUGAUCAAAUAACACCAAACACAGGAUUCAGAGUUUCAGGGUAACAAUACGAACCAUGUUCUGCAAUAGCUACAUUAGGUGUGGUCACUGCUCAACUACUAAUUGAAUCUUUAUUUGAAGGUGGUGAAAGGAGUAGUUGGUCGACGUUGAACGUGCAGGCAGGGAGGGGGGAAGAGAAGAGCAGGGAGAUACCUUGCUCCGUUGGUCCACCACUACGCCAUGCCCAGCCAGGGGUUCGCCUCCAGGAACUCGCGCCGGCGUCGGCAGGGCCGUGGGGGAGCGGCCACUACGACCAAGCCUAGGUCGUCGCGCCGGCGUCUUCGACCAGCUCCUAACCCAGGUCCUCGCGCCCGCGGCUCCAUCUAGCGACCACUACAACCAAGCACAGCCGGGGUUGCCUCCAGGACCUGGCCCCGCCGCCAUCGCCCAGAUCCCCGCGCCGGCGCUGCGGGAGGUAGCCGGGCAAUUUUUGGACGGUAGUAUUCCAGGGCUGCCGCGGUGCGAGGUUCCGCCUGCGGUGCCCAUGAGUGUCUACUCGUGAGAUGAGGGAUCGCGAGAUGACAUUGCCAUGGGGAAUUUUCUUGACGGAUCUACCCUCGAAGUAACUAACUGGCCCCACUAAAAUUUUGUCACGGUCCCGCUGUUAUAUGUAAUUUCUCGUAAUUUUAGUUUUGUAACUCCUCAUAAGUUCAAUUUUCCUACCGUCAGAUUAGGCUGGAUGGACGGCUCCUAAAAUCGUCAAUCACUGUAACAGUUGUAUAAUUUUAUACUACUAACUUUAGUCGUACUGCCCGAUGCAUGCAUGCUGAUACGGCGGAGAAAGUGGCAACACCAGUUUUGGCUACUCCGUGUUUUCCUGUCAAUGAACAGGAAUAAAUUAAAUGGUCAAUAGUUCCUUUUUACUAGAUCAAUUUCACUAUCUCAUGAUGUGAUACAGUUGUACGAGGAAUAGCAGCUCCACUCUACCAUUACGGAUUUCGAGUGGAUUAUGCGUACCAACCAUAUAGCAACAUUAAAUUAUGUUGGACUGUGAUAACGUCCGUGAUUGUAUCGAACGAUUCGUUCACUAGUACUGAGUACGACCGUUCUUUUAAUACAAAACCGAACGCAUUGAGCUGAUUCUUUUUUAAUUCUUGCAUGCAUGCAUAUAGGAUGAAAAUGAUGAUGUUAGCCAAGAUUUUACCGAACUCAAAAAUUCAAAAUAUUUUAUAGCUCAAACCGCACUCUGAUUUAAAAAUCAUUUUCAUUUAAAAGAAUCAUCACGACGAGACCUUCGAAAGUAGAUCCCAUGACAAUAUGUUUCGCUGACUUUUUUCGGGUCAAAAGUUACCAGACCUAGGAGAAGUAAGUUAUCACGUCUGCGAUUCAUAAAUUAUCAUCCUUUUUACAUAGCAACGGCCGGGACAUAAAAAUGGUCCACCCAACCUUCUCCUCACAUGCAUGCAAAUGCACGAGAGGACGAAAAAACUGAUGUCAUCAUAGAUUCUCUGUAUUUUGGAAUUUCAAAAUAUUUUGGUGCUCACACCAUUGUUCUGAUUGAAACACCAUUUUCACAUAAAAUUCCGUUGCGACUAGACCUUUGAAACUAAAUCCUUGUUUGGUCUGUUUUGACGAUAUAUAUUUUUGGGCCAAAAGUUACCAUGUUAAGUAGGUUAUUAGCUAUGUUAUGCAUAUAUUGCUAUAUUAUUUACACGGAAAUUAUUGGGGUACGUUUUUCAAUAACUUUUUCCACCGAUCAAAAAGUUACCAAAUUGUUCAUAGUAAGCUAUUAGGUCUGUUUUUUGUAUAUCAAUAUGCUAUUUACACAAAAGUUAGUCGGGUACGUUUUCAACAACUUUUUCAACGUGUCAAAAAUUUACCAUGGUGUUUGGACUAACUUAUUAGGUCUCCAGUGCACAUUUAGAUGAGAUACGAGGAGGCCUCCAGCGUCGUUGACGCUGGGUCGGUGCCGGCGAUCGGUGUCGUGAGGUAGUUCAGGGCAUAUCUUGUCACGUGUGGUAGUGUAGAUGCCGUAUUUCAGAGUGCUGUUGAGGUCGUGGUGAAGCCUGCCGGCGAGCUUGCCAGGAGGCCCCGCUGACCUGUCCUGGUGCGUCAUUCUAGGGUUGGUGUAUAGCUGCGUCGUGGUGUCCACUGGCCCUGACACUGGAGGCUCGCAAGAUCAUCAUGAUCUGAUGAAGGAAAAUCGCAUGCGGGGCCUCCGACCGGGACGUCCCCUGGUUGGUGGAGUCGCCGGCCUCUGAGCUUGGAGAGGAUCCCGAUUCUCCAUAGAGAUCGGAGUAGGAGACCUCACAAAUGGGCUGGAGGCCAGCGUUUUUAUCCGCGUUUGUGAGGCUGGCCAUAGUGGGGGUAACAUAACUAGUAUCAUAUACUUGGGACUCGCAAACAUGCUUACGUGGUAGGAAAUUAAAGAAGAGAGAGAGGGUCAUAGUAACAUAGGUAGAUACCGUAACAUAAUAAAUGUUAUGCUACUAUGUGUCAUGGAUGGCAAUAAAUGAGACCAUCUAUGAUACUACUUUAUGAUACUAUGCACUAUGGAUGUAGUAUCAUACACUAGUAUCAUAUGCAUGAUACCAGUAUAUGUUACUCCCCACUAUGACCAGCCUGAGGUAGAGUGGUGUCACGUCGCCCUCUUCGCUGUCCAAGGCCGAGGUGAUGCUGAUUGCAUCGGCGCCUUCUUGAGUUUUGGGGUCAGUGCCGACGCAAUCCUUCGGCAUUUGGAUGAGGCGACAAAUGCCGCAGACCAUCGCGACCAACUGGAUCGUCGGUGCAGACUCCGUCCUGUGAGUAGGACGGAGGAAAUUUGCGGGUCUUGUUAAGUCUGAGGUCGGUGCACGCCUCCCUAAUCGAGCGUGGCGAUCACACCUUUGGAGACCUUGAGAUGACGGGGUUGGCCGGUCAGCUGAUGUCGACCCGGCCUGCCUUGUUAGUGACAAACGUCAAUGAGUCAAAGGUCAGGCUCUCUCCCGGUGAUAGGCCAUUGAAAGCAAAAAAAGGAUCCGAUCCAAGAUCAAUCUCCAGUCAGCGGCCCGUUCUUGGCACGCCAACACAUGGAGCAAAAAACCGUCAAAUCUCUCGGAAGUGGUCCAAACGCAGCUGGAAGUCCGGAAUCAGAGGUCACAUGAAGGGUUUAUCCAGGUUCGGGCCUCCGGAGAGUAAUACCCCUACAUCAUGCUGGUUUUCAUUACUCAUGGUAGAGGGAUACCUCGUGCGAGGGGUUACAAUUGUAUAUGAGAUUGCUACCAACAAUUUGUUAUCUGUGUGUCAAUGAUGAAUGAGGACCCUAGGCCUCCCAUUAUAUACGCAUGACAAGUCUAGGUUUUACACGGUGCAUGCAAUCUAGAGCGUUGCCGCCUCCUAGUCUUGGAGACGAUGAAGGUCGUCUUCGCCUCCUAGGGUUAGAUCCUCGCAUUCGGCCUAGCGGGCCCCUUCUAGUCUGAUGAGGCCAGACUCCCUGAUGGUAGCUACCCUUAGUAUAGGCCCCCGUCAGAGACGUGAGUGCGUCCUCGGGAUCGAUCGGCGCGCGCUAGUGACCGGCGCCUCAUCGAUGCGUCAGCUGCUGCCAUGGCCUCCCUCGCACGUUGCCGCUCGCGCCAUCUGGCGUGCGCGUCCGACUCGGCCGACCUCGAUCGGACUGGCGCUAGCGAGGGCACAAGCACCCAAUGGUGCCCGUGGAGGCCCUCCGGAGGUACGAUGGAUGUGGUGGCGACGGGACGGCAUACCUGGAGUGGGGCGGAGCGGGCCGCGCACCCACCAGUGUGUUGCGGGUCGGGCGGGAGGGCCCGACAACAUUGUUCGCACUACGACGGCGGGCGAAGGGGGGCAACACGUCGCUCCAUGAGCUUUCUCCUCUGUUGUCGCCCUGAUCUAGAUGGGAGCAGCGCCAAGAAAUGCGGAGCGUGACCGCAUUGAUGUCGCUCGCACCGCCGCCGGAGCCAGACCCGCUGCGAUCAUCCGCCAUAGAUCGGAAGCGAAGAGAAAAAAUAGAUUGGGAAGAGAAGAGAACGAAGAGAGUGGAGUGGACUUAGUAGACUAUAGUCUAGGGUUCAUCGAAGGGGAUAUUUUUUGGGUCGAGGUGGGCCAGGCUGACGUGACGAAAGUGACUGGACGUGCCCUAGCCGCUCCAUAUUUAGGUUGUAAAUGAGAGGCGCCGGACACCCAAGGUGUUUGAGGACGGUUUGAGUCGCCCGACUGGGUUGGUUUUUCUUGGCCGGUCAGCCCGCCCGGGCGUUGAGGCGGGUUUAAGACCCCUGGGUGUAGAAACUCUUGCAAGAUCUUGACUGUACUGCCAUCACAAGACAAGUAUAUGGAGUGCAUGAAGUACAUGACUCGGUGAUGAAUAUGUUUAUGUGUUUUCAACCAACCAAACCAUAGUUUUUUUUGUCAGUAUGAUGGAGCGGCCGUAGCAAAGCACGGCUUUCACUUAUAGUUUUAAUGACUAGCAGGCGGAAGACGCGGCGGCAGGCCGCACCGGUGGUUCCUGCCGCAUGUGCAUGUAUGUUAUUUUCUAUUUUAAGAUGAGAAAAGGAAUGUCGAUGGGUUUAAGGUCGAGCAGGUUGCAAUGAUUCAUACAGAAGAAUCCUUUUCAUACAGCCAGAGCCAGUAAUCCUUUAAUCACUGCGUACCGUUAUUAGAUUUGACUACAGAAGCCCAAUUGUGAAGCGAUAUGCCACACCGUUCACAUUGUAGGGGAACGUAGCAUAAAUUCAAAAUUUUCCUACGUGUCACCAAGAUCUAUCUAUGGAGUCAUCUAGCAACGAGGGAGGAGUGGAUCUACACACCCUUGUAGAUCGUGCGCGGAAGCGUUCAAAAGAACGGGAUUGAUGAAGUCGUACUCGUCGUGAUCCAAAUCACCGAUGAUCCUAGCGCCGAACGGACGACACCUCCACGUUCAACACACGUACGGAGCAGCGACGUCUCCUCCUUCUUGAUCCAGCAAGGGGGAAGGAGAGGUUGAUGGAGAUCUAGCAGCACGACGGCGUGGUGGUGGAAGUAGCGGGAUUCCAACAGGGCUUCGCCAAGCGCUGCGGGAGGAGGGAGAUAUGUCAUGGGAGGGAGAGGGAGGCGCCAGGGCUUAGGUGUUGCUGCCAUCCCUUCCCCUCACUAUAUAUAGGGCCAAGGGAGAGAGGGGGGGGGGGGCGCAGCCUUGGCCCUUCCUCCAAGGAAGGGUGCGGCCAGGGAGGAGUCCAUCCUCCCCAAGGCACCUCGGAGGUGCCUUCCCCUUUUAGGACUCUUCCUUUCCCUUAUCUCUUGGCGCAUGGGCCUCUUGGGGCUGGUGCCCUAGGGCCAUACAGACCAAGGCGCACCCCCCUAUAGCCCAUGUGCCCCCCGGGACAGGUGGCCCCACCCGGUGGACCCCCGGGACCCUUUCGGUGGUCCCGGUACAAUACCGGUGACCCCGAAACUUGUCCCGAUAGCCGAAAUAGCACUUCAUAUAUAUAAUUCUUUACCUCCGGACCAUUCCGGAACUCCUCGUGACGUCCGGGAUCUCAUCCGGGACUCCGAACAACUUUCGGGUUACCGCAUACUAAUAUCUCUAUAACCCCAGCGUCACCGAACCUUAAGUGUGUAGACCCUACGGGUUCGGGAGACAUGCAGACAUGACCGAGAUGACUCUCCGGUCAAUAACCAACAGCGGGAUCUGGAUACCCAUGUUGGCUCCCACAUGUUCCACGAUGAUCUCAUCGGAUGAACCACGAUGUCAAGGACUUAAUCAAUCCCGCAUACAAUUCCCUUUGUCCAUCGGUAUGUUACUUGCCCGAGAUUCGAUCGUCGGUAUCCCGAUACCUUGUUCAAUCUCGUUACCGGCAAGUCUCUUUACUCAUUCCGUAACACAUCAUCUUGUGAUCAACUCCUUGAUCAUAUUGUGCACAUUAUGAUGAUGUCCUACCAAGUGGGCCCAGAGAUACCUCUCCGUUUACACGGAGUGACAAAUCCCAGUCUCGAUUCGUGGCAACCCAACAGACACUUUCGGAGAUACCUGUAGUGUACCUUUAUAGCCACCCAGUUACGUUGUGACGUUUAGCACACCCAAAGCACUCCUACGGUAUCCGGGAGUUGCACAAUCUCAUGGUCUAAGAAAAUGAUACUUGACAUUAGAAAAGCUUUAGCAUAUGAACUACAUUAUCUUGUGCUAGGCUUAGGAUUGGGUCUUGUCCAUCACAUCAUUCUCCUAAUGAUGUGAUCCCGUUAUCAAUGACAUCCAAUGUCCAUGGUCAGGAAACCGUAACCAUCUAUUGAUCAACGAGCUAGUCAACUAAAGGCUUACUAGGGACAUGGUGUUGUCUAUGUAUCCACACAUGUAUCUGAGUUUCCUAUCAAUACAAUCCUAGCAUGGAUAAUAAACGAUUAUCAUGAACAAGGAAAUAUAAUAAUAACUAAUUUAUUAUUGCCUCUAGGGCAUAUUUCCAACAGUCUCCCACUUGCACUAGAGUCAAUAAUCCAGUUCACAUCGCUAUGUGACUAACACUCAAGGUCACAUCCCCAUGUGACUAACACCCAAAGAGUUUACUAGAGUCAAUAAUCUAGUUCACAUUACCAUGUGAUUAACACUCAAUGAGUUCUGGGUUUGAUCAUGUUAUGCUUGUGCGAGAUGUUAUAGUCAACGGGUCUGAAUCUUUCAGAUCCGUAUGUACUUCGCAAAUUUCUAUGUCAUCUUGUAGAUGCAACUACUACGCUACAUUUGGAGCUAUUCCAAAUAACUGUUCUACUAUACGAAUCCAGUUUACUACUCAGAAUAAUCUGGAUUAGUGUCAAAGUUUGCAUCAGCGUAACCCUUUACGACGAACUCUUUUACCACCUCCAUAAUCGAGAAAAUUCCUUAGUCCACUAGUUACUAAGGAUAACUUUGACCGCUGUCUGGUGAUCUACUCCUAGAUUACCUUUGUACCCUCUUGCCAGAUAUGUGGCAAGGCACACAUCAGGUGCGGUACUCAGCAUGGCAUACCGUAUAGAGCCUAUGACAAAAGCAUAGGGGACGACCUUCGUCCUUCCUCUUUCUUCUGCCUGUGGUCGAGCUUUAAGUCUUAACUUCAUACCUUACAACUCAGGCAAGAACUUCUUCUUUGACUGAUCCAUCUUGAACACCUUCAAGAUCAUGUCAAGGUAUGUGCUCAUUUGAAAGUACCAUUAAGCAUUUUGAUCUAUCCCUAUAGAUCUUGAUGCUCAAUGUUCAAGUAGCUUAAUCUAGGCUUUCCAUUGAAAAACACUUUCCAAAUAACCCUAUAUGCUUUCCAGAAAUUCUACGUCAUUUCUGAUCAACAAUAUGUCAACAACAUAUAUUCAUCAGAAAUUCUAUAGUGCUCCCACUCACUUCUAUGGAAAUACAAGUUUCUCAUAAACUUUGUAUACACCCAAAAUCUUUGAUCAUCUCAUCAAAGCAUACAUUCCAACUCCGAGAUGCUUACUCCAGUCCUUAGAAGGAUUGCUGGAGCUUUGCAUACUUAUUAGCAUCUUUCAGGAUUGACAAAACCUUCCGGUUAUAUCACAUACAACCUUUCCUCAAGAAAAUCGUCGAGGAAACAAUGUUUUGACAUCCUAUCUGCAAGAUUUCAUAAAUAAUGCAGUAAUCGCUAAUAUAAUUCCAACAGACUCUUAGCAUCGCUACGAGUGAGAAAGUCUCAUCGCAGUCAACUCCUUGAACUUGUCGGAAAACAUCUUAACGAAAAGUCGAGCUUUCUUAAUGGUGAUACCUACCAUCAUUGCCCGUCUUCCUUUUAAAAUCCAUAUGUACCUAACAGCCUUACGACCAUCAAGUAGUUCUCCCAAAGUCUACACUUUGUUUUCAUAUAUGGAUCCUCUCUCGGAUUAUAUGGCCUCGAGCCAUUUUGGAAUCUGGGCCCACCAUCGCUUCUCCAUAGCUCGUAGGUUCAUUGUUGUCUAGCAACAUGACUUCCAAGACAGGAUUACGUACCACUCUGAAGUAGUACGCAUCCUUGUCAUCCCACGAGGUUUGGUAGUGACUUGAUCUGAAGUUUCAUGAUCACUAUCAUAAGCUUCCACUUCAAUUGGUGUAGGUGCCACAGGAACAACUCCCUGUGCCCUGCCACACACUAGUUGAAGAGACGGUUCAAUAACCUCAUCAAGUCUCCACCAUCCUCCCACUCAAUUCUUUCGAGAGAAACUUUUCCUCGAGAAAGGACCCGAUUCUAGAAACAAUCCCUUAUUGCUUUCGGUUCUGAGACAGGAGGUAUACCCAACUGUUUUGGGUGUCCUAUGAAGAUGCAUUUAUCCGCUUUGGGUUCGAGCUUAUCAGCCUGAAACUUUUUCACAUAAGCAUCGCAGCCCCAAACUUUUAAGAAAUGACAUCUUAGGUUUCCCUAAACCAUAGUUCAUACAGUGUCAUCUCAUCGGAAUUACGUGGUGCCCUAUUUAAAGUGAAUGUGGUUGUCUUUAAUGCCUAACCCAUAAACUAUCGUGGUAAUUCGAUAAGAGACAUCAUGGUAUGCAUCAUAUCCAAUAGGAUGCAGUUAUGAUGUUCGGACACACCAUCACACUAUGGUGUUCCAGGCUGUAUUAGUUGUGAAACAAUUUCCACAAUGUCUUAGUUCUGUGCCAAACUCGUAAUUCAGAUAUUCAUUUCUAUGAUCAUAUCAUAGAUAUUUUAUCCUCUUGUCACGACGAUCUUUCAACUUCACCCUGAAAUUACUUGAACCUUUCAAUAAUUCAGACUCGUGAUUCAUCAAGUAAAUAUACUCAACAUCUACUCAAAUCAUCUGUGAAGUAAGAACAUAACGAUAUCCAUUACAUGCCUCAGCACUCAUUGGAUUGCACACAUCAAAAUGUAUUACUUCCAACAAGUUGCUUUCUAGUUCCAUUUUACUGAAACCGAGGCUUUCAGUCAUCUUGCCCAUGUGGUAUGAUUUGCAUGUCUCAAGUGAUUCAAAAUCAAGUGAGUCCAAACGGUCCAUUUGCAUGGAGUUUCUUCAUGCAUAUACACCAAUAGACAUGGUUCGCAUGUCUCAAACUUUUCAAAAACGAGUGAGCCCAAAGAUCCAUCAACAUGGAGCUUCUUCAUGCGCUUUAUACCGAUAUGACUUACGUGGCAGUGCCACAAGUAGGUGGUACUAUCAUUACUAUCUUAUAUCUUUUGGCAUGAACAUGUGUAUCACUACGAUCGAGAUUCAAUAAACCAUCCAUUUUAGGUGCAAGACCAUUGAAGGUAUUAUUCAAUUAAACAGAGUAACCAUUAUUCUCCUUAAAUGAAUAACCAUAUUGCGAUAGACAUAAUCCAAUCAUGUCUAUGCUCAACGCAAACACCAAUCUUGAUGGUAGAGGGAGCAUAUGAUAUUUGAUCAACCUUGGAAAUACUUCCAACACAUAUCGUCAUCUCACCUUUUAACUAGUCUCCAUUCAUUCCGUAGCUUUUAUUUCGAGUUACUAACACUUAGCAACCAAACCGGUAUCUAAUACCCUGGUGCUACUAGGAGUACUAAUAAAGUACACAUCAACACAAUGUAUAUCCAAUAUACUUCUAUCGACCUUGCCAGCCUUCUCAUCUACCAAGUAUCUAGGGUAAUUCUGCUCCAGUGGCUGUUCCCCUUAUUACAGAAGCACUUAGUCUCGGGUUUGGGUUCAACCUUGGGUUUCUUCACUAAAGCAGCAGCUGAAUUGCUGUUUCAUGAAGUAUCCCUUUUUACCCUUGCCCUUCUUGAAACUAGUGGUUUCACCAACCAUCAACAAUUGAUGCUCCUUCUUGAUUUCUACUUUUGUGGUGUCAAACAUCGCGAAUAUCUCAAGGAUCAUCAUAUAUGUCCCUGAUAUAUUAUAGUUCAUCACGAAGCUCUAGCAGCUUGGUGGUAAUGACUUCGGAGAACCAUCACUAUUUCAUUUGGAAGAUCAACUCCCACUUGAUUCAAAUGAUUGUUGUACUCAGACAAUCUGAGCACAAGCUCAACAAUUGAGCUUUUCUCCCUUAGUUUGCAGGCUAAGAAAAUCGUCGGAGGUCUUAUACCUCUUGACGUGGGCACGAACCUGAAAUCCCAAUUUCAGUCCUCAAAACAUCUCAUAUGUUUCGCGAUGUUUCAAAACCGUCUUCGGUGCCUCAACUCUAAGCCGUUUAACUGAACUAUCAUGUAGUUAUCAAAAUGUGUAUGUCAGAUGUUCGCAACAUCCACAGACAACGUUCGAGGUUCAGCACACUGAGCGGUGCAUUAAGGACAUAAGCCUUCUAUGAAGCAAUGAGGACAAUCCUCAGUUUACGGACCUAGUCCGCAUAAUUGCUACUAUCAACUUUCAACUAAAUUUUCUCUAGGAACAUAACUAAACAGUAGAACUGAAGCGCGAGCUACGACAUAAUUUGCGAAGACCUUCUGACUAUGUUCAAGAUAAUUAAGUUCAUCUUAUGAACUCCCACUCAGAUAGACAUCCCUCUAGUCAUCUAAGUGAUUACAUGAUCCGAGUCAACUAGGCCGUGUCCGAUCAUCAUGUGAGACGGACUAGUCAACAUCGGUGAACAUCUUCAUGUUGAUCGUAUCUUCUAUACGACUCAUGCUCGACCUUUCGGUCUCUUGUGUUCCGAGGCCAUGUCUGUACAUGCUAGGCUCGUCAAGUUAACCUAAGUGUUUCGCAUGUGUUCCGAGGCCAUGUCUGUACAUGCUAGGCUCGUCAACACCCGUUGUAUUCGAACGUAAGAAUCUAUCACACCCGAUCAUCUCGUGGUGCUUCGAAACGACGAACUUUCGCAACGGUGCACAGUUAGGGGGAACACCUUCUUGAAAUUUUAACGAGGGAUCAUCUUAUUUACUACCAUCGUUCUAAGCAAAUAAGAUGCAUAAACAUGAUAAACAUUACAUGCAAUCAAAUAGUGACAUGAUAUGGCCAUCAUCACUUUGCUCCUCUUGAUCUCCAUCUUCGGGGCUCCAUGAUUAUCAUCGUCACCGGCAUGACACCAUGAUCUCCAUCAUCAUGAUCUCCAUCAUCGUGUCUUCAUGAAGUUGUCUCGUCAUCUAUUACUUCUACUACUACAGCUAACAGUUAGCAAUAAAGUAAAGUAAUUACAUGACGUUUAUGUUGACACGCAGGUCAUAAAUAAAUUAAGACAACACCUAUGGCUCCUGCCGGUUGUCAUACUCAUCGACAUGCAAGUCGUGAUUCCUAUUACAAGAACAUGAUCAAUCUCAUACAUCACAUAUAUCAUUCAUCACAUCCUUUUGGCCAUAUCACAUCACAUAGCAUACCCUGCAAAAACAAGUUAGACGUCCUCUAAUUGUUGUUUGCAUGUUUUACGUGGCUGCUAUGGGUUUCUAGCAAGAACGUUUCUUACCUACGCAAAGACCACAACGUGAUAUGCCAAUUGCUAUUUACCCUUCAUAAGGACCCUUUUCAUCGAAUCCGAUCCGACUAAAGUGGGAGAGACAGACACCCGCUAGCCACCUUAUGCAACUAGUGCAUGUCAGUCGGUGGAACCAGUCUCACGUAAGAGUACGUGUAAGGUCGGUCCGGGCCGCUUCAUCCCACAAUGCCACCGAAUCAAGAUUGGACUAGUAACGGUAAGCAUAUUGAACAAAAUCAACGCCCACAACUACUUUGUGUUCUACUCGUGCAUAGAAACUACGCAUAGACUUAGCUCUUGAUGCCACUGUUGGGGAACGUAGCAUAAAUUCAAAAUUUUCCUACUUGUCACCAAGAUCUAUCUAUGGAGUCAUCUAGCAACGAGGGAGGAGUGGAUCUACACACCCUUGCAGAUCGCGCGUGGAAGCGUUCAAGAGAACGGGGUUGAUGGAGUCGUACUCGUCGUGAUCCAAAUCACCGAUGAUCCUAGCGCCGAACGGACGGCACCUCCGCGUUCAACACACGUACAGAGCAGAGACGUCUCCUCCUUCUUGAUCCAGCAAGGGGGAAGGAGAGGUUGAUGGAGAUCCAGCAGCACGACGGCGUGGUGGUGGAAGUAGCGGGAUUCCAGCAGGGCUUCGCCAAGCGCUGCGGGAGGAGGGAGAUGUGUCAUGGGAGGGAGAGGGAGGCGCCAGGGCUUAGGUGUUGCUACCCUCCCUUCCCCUCACUAUAUAUGGGGCCAAGGGAGAGGGGGGGGGGGCGCAGCCUUGGCCCUUCCUCCAAGGAAGGGUGCGGCCAGGGAGGAGUCCAUCCUCCCCAAGGCACCUCGGAGGUGCCUUCCCCUUUUAGGACUCUUCCUUUCCCUUAUCUCUUGGCGCAUGGGCCUCUUGGGGCUGGUGCCCUUGGCCCAUACAGGCCAAGGCGCACCCCCCUAUAGCCCAUGUGCCCCCCAGGGGCAGGUGGCCCCAACCGGUGGACCCCCGGGACCCUUCCGGUGGUCCCGGUACAAUACCGGUGACCCCGAAACUUGUCCCGAUAGCCGAAAUAGCACUUCCUAUAUAUAAUUCUUUACCUCCGGACCAUUCCGGAACUCCUCGUGACGUCCGGGAUCUCAUCCGGGACUCCGAACAACCUUCGGGUUACCGCAUACUAAUAUCUCUAUAACCCCAGCGUCACCGAACCUUAAGUGUGUAGACCCUACGGGUUCGGGAGACAUGCAGACAUGACCGAGAUGACUCUCCGGUCAAUAACCAACAGCGGGAUCUGGAUACCCAUGUUGGCUCCCACAUGUUCCACGAUGAUCUCAUCGGAUGAACCACGAUGUCAAGGACUUAAUCAAUCCCGCAUACAAUUCCCUUUGUCUAUCGGUAUGUUACUUGCCCGAGAUUCGAUCGUCGGUAUCCCGAUACCUUGUUCAAUCUCGUUACCGGCAAGUCUCUUUACUCGUUCUGUAACACAUCAUCCUGUGAUCAACUCCUUGAUCACAUUGUGCAUAUUAUGAUGAUGUCCUACCGAGUGGGCCCAGAGAUACCUCUCCGUUUACACGGAGUGACAAAUCCCAGUCUCGAUUCGUGCCAACCCAACAGACACUUUUAGAGAUACCUGUAGUGUACCUUUAUAGCCACCCAGUUAGGUUGUGACGUUUGGCACACCCAAAGCACUCCUACGGUAUCCGGGAGUUGCACAAUCUCAUGGUCUAAGAAAAUGAUACUUGACAUUAGAAAAGCUUUAGCAUACGAACUACAUGAUCUUGUGCUAGGCUUAGGAUUGGGUCUUGUCCAUCACAUCAUUCUCCUAAUGAUGUGAUCCCGUUAUCAACGACAUCCAAUGUCCAUGGUCAGGAAACCGUAACCAUCUAUUGAUCAACGAGCUAGUCAACUAGAGGCUUACUAGGGACAUGGUGUUGUUUAUGUAUCCACACAUGUAUCUAAGUUUCCUAUCAAUACAAUCCUAGCAUGGAUAAUAAACGAUUAUCAUGAACAAGGAAAUAUAAUAAUAACUAAUUUAUUAUUGCCUCUAGGGCAUAUUUCCAACACACAUAAGGAGUGUCUCAUUUAUAUGCAUAUCUGAAUGCUUGUAUGGCUUCUGUUAUGCCACGGCCCAACCUAGGAAGGAGGCCCAAGGCCUGUCGCCGCUCACGCCUGCUGGACCAGGCCUGGAGGGCAGGAGGAACCUAGUGCGGCAUCACGGCAGCGAGAGAUAAAGAGUAGCAGGGGGAGACAGGAAAGGCAGCCGAUUAGCAGAAGCAACACACUUUCCCCUUUCCCCUCCUCCCAUCUCUGUACCGAGAUCUCCUUCCCCUUCUUGUAUCUCUAGAUCGAAUUAUUGUAUCCAGGAGCAUAACAAUUGGUAUCAGAUGUCGUUCGAUCCAUUGCGGUGACGUGCGAUCAAUCAGUCCGUAGUGCGGUAAGCGGAGGAUUCGUCCACCACUGUAAUUCCAAUCGCUCGGCAGGAACCGCUGAUCUGGCUGGACGAUCGGGAGUCGGAGCUGGCACCGAAGAAGCGUGGCCCGUUGGUGGUGGAGCAACAGAUCUCGGCGGCGAUGGGGUCGGUGGAGCAACAGAACACGAAGACCAACGCCAAGCUCGCCGACAUCACCGAGCAGCUGAAGGGCAUGGCGGCGUGGAUGAAAUCCAUGGACUCCACGACCAAGAGCCUCUCCGAGACGGCGGCGCUUCUCCAGCUCCAUGUCGAGGACGUGACAGCCCGACUGGAGGCGCUCGAGACACCUCCAGCGUGGCCCCAAGGUCCGGCUGCGGCAAGCCUGACACCACCGUCCGUGGUGGUGCACACGCAAGGCAAGGACCGCCAAAUGGGCACGGCGGGCAUCACCAACCACGGGGGUCAGUUCUGGGAGAUCCUCGAUUCCCUGAUUUGCCUCCGGGCAACGGUAUGCCCCUAUUGGCACCUUCACAUCAUUCCCUUCAUCCGCACAUGGGCAUCACGCCCAAAAUGGAUUUUCCCAAGUUCAAUGGGGAAGAUCACCAGGUGUGGUUGGACAAUUGUGAACUAUAUUUCGAGAUAUAUGGGGUUUCUGAGCACAUGAAAGUUAAAUUUGCUUCUCUCAAUUGUGUUGGGAACGCGGCGCUGUGGCUCAAGAUGGCCCAGAAACGCCGACAAUUUGUGCACUGGCAUGAAUUGCGCACUGCUGUUCAGGAGAAAUGGGGGAGGAAUAGGUACAAGUUUCACAUGCGUCAAUUGUUGUUGCUUAGUCAGUCAGGGUCUGUCGAUGAUUACACCACCAAAUUUGACAAUCUCCGCCACCAAAUUCUGUUAGCAGAUCCUCAUUCUAGUGAAGUUUUCUUUGUUGAAAGAUAUGUAGUAGGUCUACGUUCUAAAAUUCGUACUACUGUUAUUUUGCAUCAACCCGAGGACGUGGAUACUGCUAGCUGUUUGACCUUGUUGCAGGAAGCAGAAUUGGAGAGCGACAAGUCUGGUGGGAACUCGAAAUAUAGUCAGCAUUCAGGAAACAAGCAGUCCAAUACAGAGAAGGGCAAGCAGCCAGAUGAUACCAGGAAAGUAGCAGAGAAACUGGAGGUCCUAUGUGCAUAUCGCAAGGCCAAGAGCUUGUGCUUCAAAUGCGGCGAACCAUGGGCAAGAGGCCACAAGUGCCCCGACAAAGUACCUCUGCAUAUCAUGGAGGAGUUACUGGAGGUUUUGCAGUUGGACGACCCCCCUGAUCCUCAGCAUAUGUCAGAUUCCAGCUCCGAAGAGGAAGUUAUGUUGCUUGCCAAUGCCUGCUCACCGACACCACCAGUUAAACACCGAACGAUGCGCUUGCACGACAUGAUCGACAAGCGCAGCAUUCUCAUUCUGAUUGAUUCAGGGGCGAAUUGUUCGUUUGUGGAUGCCCAACUGACAGAAGAGCUGCAAUUGCCCACUCAACCUAUGUCGCCGGCUUCUUACAUAGUUGCUGGUGGAGACACCUUGACAAGCUCGACGAUGGUGCCUCAACUGUCAUGGUGGACAAAGGGUCACACCUUCUGCCAGGACAUGAAAGUUCUUCCUCUGGGCUGCUAUGAUCUCAUUGUUGGGAUGACUGGCUUGAGAAUCAUAGCCCUAUGUGGGUCCACUAGCACAAGAAGUGGAUGCGGUUCACACAUGAAGGGCAACGGAUUACACUCAAAGGGAUUCGGUCCACGCCAAGCAAAUGCAAACCAGUCUCUGUAGGCAAGCUGAAAGGGUUGUUGCGUCGUGGUGCGAUUCAACAGGCAGUGCAUAUCAAGCACAUUCAUCAGGAGAGGGACCUGAUAGCUAUCCAGGUAUCAAAGACAGACGAGCCCGUGCCCCCAGAGGUGCAGUCGCUGUUAUAGGAGUUUGAGGACCGUUUCAGUGUGCCUUCCACACUCCCCCCUGCACCGAGCAGAUGAUCAUACCAUUCCAUUGGUUCCGGCAGCACAGCCGGUCAGUGCACGGCCGUAUCGGUAUACCCCCCAGCAGAAGGAUGAGAUCGAGCGACAGAUCAAAGAGAUGCUUCGAGCAGGGAUUAUCCACCCCAGUACAAGCCCCUUUGCUGCUCCAGUCCUGCUUGUUCGCAAGAAAGAUGGCUCAUGGCGUUUCUGUGUCAACUAUCGACAGCUGAACGCGAUCACAGUUAAGAACAAACAUCCCAUGCCUGUGGUGGAUGAACUGCUCGAUGAGAUUGUAGGUGCCAAGUGGUUCACCAAGUUAGACCUGCUCUCCGGUUACCACCAGAUCAGGGUCGUAGACGAAGAUGUGUUCAAAACAGCUUUUCGCACACAUCAAGGGUUGUAUGAGUUCCUGGUAAUACCGUUUGGGCUGUCUCGCGCUCCUGGCUCAUUUCAAGGGAUGAUUCAUAGGAUUUUGGAACCCCUGCUCCGGCAUGGUGUGUUGGCAUUCAUGGAUGACAUAUUGGUCCAUACUGCCACCUUGGAGGAGCACGUCCGUCGUCUGCGCGAAGUGUUGCAGCUCCUUCGUGACAAUGAGCUGGUUAUCAAGCGAUCCAAAUGUGCAUUUGCCCAAAACAAGAUCGAGUACUUGGGACAUGUCAUCAAUGAGGAAGGAGUUGCCACCGACCCAACAAAAGUUGAAGCAGUGCAAUCCUGGCCUACCCCAGCGUCAGUUCGUGCAGUUCGUGGAUUACUAGGGCUUACGGGGUACUACAGGAAAUUCAUCCAACACUAUGGGGUGAUUAGCCGUCCGCUGACAGAAUUACUGAAGAAAGGGACUAUGUUUCAAUGGACACCACAGGUAGAGACAGCCUUCCAGCUGCUAAAGGAAGCAAUGAUCGCAACUUCUGUGUUAGCGGUGCCUGAUUUUCAUCAACCCUUCGUCCUUGAGACAGACGCAUGCAAGGAUGGCAUUGGCACGGUACUCAUGCAACAUGGUUACCCUGUCGCUUAUUUGAGCAAAGGCCUCUGCCCCAAAAACCAGGCACUAAGCACAUACAAAAAAGAAUGCCUGGCUAUUCUUAUGGCCGUGGAGAAGUGGCGACCGUACCUGCAGCACCAAUGCUUCACUGUCCGCACGGACCAGCAAGCCCUCCUGCACUUGUCUGACCAACGGCUGAACACCGGCAUCCAGCACAAGGCCUUUGUGAAGCUAAUGGGACUGGAGUACACCAUCCAGUGCAAACGAGGCAUCGCUAAUGCCGCCGCAGAUGCUCUUUCGCGGCGUGACCAUCACCAAGCCUUGCUCGCCAUUUCUUCCGCAGUGCCGGCGUGGUUGGAAACAUUGGUGACCGGCUACGAAGAAGACGCCAGUUCCAAGCAGCUCUUGACUGAGCUCUCUGUUUCAGGGCACAACGACAAUGGGUACUCUCUGGAGAAAGGUGUGCUGCGUUACAAAGGAAAGAUCUGGGUGGGCCACAACCCAUUGGCCCAACAACACAUCAUGCAGUCUCUCCACUCAACUGCAAUUGGAGGGCACUCGGGUGUGCUGGCAACCUAUCAGCGAGUCAAGAAGCUGUUUUCUUGGCCCAAGAUGAAGCGUGACAUUACUGAGUUUGUGCAGAGCUGUGAUAUAUGUCAACGAGCCAAACCGGAGCACUGCUGUCAACCACGGCUUCUUCAACCUCAUGAGAUUCCACCUCAUCCAUGGCACACCAUCAGUUGGGAUUUUGUGGAAGGUCUACCAAAAUCCAAUGGCUUCGAGGUGAUCCUGGUUAUCAUCGACAAGCUGACCAAAUUUGCCCAUUUUCUGUCGCUCAAGCAUCCCCACACCGCUCGUCAGGUGGCCCUGGUAUUCUUCGAUCGGAUCUACAGACUCCAUGGCAUGCCAUCCCGGAUCAUUUCGGACAGAGAUCCAGUCUUCACAAGCGCCUUCUGGCAAGAGUUGUUUCGCUUGUCGGAUACCAUCCUCAAUAUGAGCUCAGCACACCAUCCCGAGACAGAUGGACAAACAGAGAGGCUAAACCAGUGCUUAGAAGCCUUCCUUCGCUGCUCCAUUCACGACACCCCAAACCAGUGGUCCAAAUGGUUAGCAUCAGCGGAGCAUUGGUACAACACGUCCUAUCAUACAGCGGCUGGAUGCACCCCAUUUGAGGCUCUGUGCCUCGACCAUUUGGCAUCUCCGCUCUAGCAUCAACGACAGAACUCCAGGACUUGGUGGCCGAUCGCAACGCGAUUCGUGAACUGCUUCGCCAACACCUCACGCGGGCUCAAGCAAGGAUGAAGCGGCAAGCGGACAAGCAUCGCACAGAACGCUCCUUCCAAGUGGGUGAUCAGGUUUUUCUCAAGGUCCAACCCUACCUUCAAAACUCCUUGGCUGCCCAGCGCAAUCAAAAGCUUGCCUUGAAGUUCUACGGGCCGUACCAAGUUCUGCAGCGUGUCGGCGCUGUCUCCUACAAGCUGGCUCUUCCUGCGAAUUCCAGGAUCCACGACGCGAUCCACGUCUCCCAGCUCAAGAAGCAAGUCCCUCCCAAGUUCUCCGUCGAGCCAGACAUGAGCAUGGUGGCGCCGCGGAACCUGUCGCUGCUGCAGCCGGCGACGAUCUUGCAGAUGAAGCUCAUUCGGCGUGGUGGUUCAAUGAAGCCCCGGCUCAAGGUACGCUGGCGUGAUCGCCCUGACACCCAUGACUGCUGGGAAGACGCAUUCGCUCUGCAGCAGAUUCUCCCUUCGACGGCUUGGGGGCAAGCCGCUCCUCAAGGGAUGGGGAAUGUUAUGCCAUGGCCCAACCCAGGAAGGAGGCCCAAGGCCUGUCGCCGCUCACGCCUGCUGGACCGGGCCUGGAGGGCAGGAGGAACCCAGUGCGGCAUCACGGCAGCGAGAGAUAAAGAGCAGUAGGUGGAGACAGGAAAGGCAACCGAUUAGCAGAAGCAACACGCUUUCCCCUUUCCCCUCCUCCCAUCUUUGUACCCAGAUCUCCUUCCCCUUCUUGUAUCUCUAGAUCGAAUUAUUGUAUCCAGGAGCAUAACAGCUUCCUAGUGAUUAGCGAAAGAGAGCACACACCUUUUCCACGCUCAUCUUGUGGAUGAUUGGCUAAAUCUGUAUGUCAAUCUUCGAUUUAUAGCAGUGAUUAUUGCUUCAGGAGAGAGGUUGAACAAUGAAUAUAUAGUGGCACAUGGCACAUAGUCUUGUGUAGUCACUCAUGAACACAUCUUCGAAAAAACUGCCCAUGGGGUUCAUUAUAGCACUGUACCUACGGAAAGUCAAUUCAUAGUGAGUGUUUCAGUAAUGCAAGUAGUUCAAAGGAAACUUUGGUAUUGAUUAGGAGAGCGAACUAAUUUACGAUCUAGAUUUGAAUAAAACUUUAUCUAAAAGUUGUUCAUUUUGUUCUAUAUGCCUUUUUCUGUCACCAAAUGGCAAAAUUUGGAAUAAAAUGCAUAAAGAAUAAUUUUAUAUAGGGAUAGUUAAAUUUGGUGUAUAGAGCUUGAAUAUGCAAGGGAGGAUUUUGUUGAGUUGAAAAUUAGGCCUAGCCCACAUGGCACGGAAUGCUAAGUUGGUUUACUUGCGUAUGCUCGGGCUAAACAUGUAGAAAACUUUAGCAUUUAGGAAGAGAGUGGCUUAAUUUUGGAUCUCCACCUAUGUAAAAUUUAACAUAAGAUUUGCCAAUCUUGUCACGUAUAUUUUUUCAUAGUACUGAGCAGCUAAGAGACCGUACGUAUACCAUAGGGAUCUUCUUGAUGGCUUCGUUGAUCGGCCUGUAAGUGCUAUACUUGUGUUUACUGUGCACAACCUAUGGAAGCAAAAAGAUAUAAAUAGUGUUUAUCAGAAUAGAAACAAAGAAGCUAAUUUGUUUUUCCUUUUGAGCUCGUGGAAUAGCCUCUUAGCAUAAAAAAAUGUAUAAACUUAAAAUGGUCUCUCAUAUUUGAUGUAAUGACCAUUUUAAGUUUAUACAAGAUAAUUUUACCGGAUUUUUUUAAUCUUCUUGUGCAUUUUUUUUGGCUGAAAGUACUGUUCACAGUAAUGCUCAUAUAUAUGAGGCAUUGUUCAAACUGUGGCAAUGGUUAAAUACAGUUAAUGUUCAUCCAAAAUUACUGUUUAUACAAAUUUACUGUUCAUCCAAAAUGCGUGAUUACUAUUUUCCCGGUUCCCUAUUCAUUUGUGCCACAUGUCGCCUGGGGAAGAGCCCUGGCCACAACGGCAGAUGCACCUGGUGCCGGUAUCAACUUUGUACAAAUUGUAUAUAUUCUCUAGGCUUUGCCUAGAGUAUUUUGGACAGUAAAACUCCUCUAAUCAGAAGUCUUGAUAUAAGUAGCAGCACCAACUUGGGAGACUUUGUUCCGACUCAAGUCUGCAAGAUCACGACUUGAGGAGGCUUGGCUUCCACAGGACAUGGAGAUGAGAUGCGUGGUAGCCUUUUUUUUUUAAAUACAGUACAGACGCAAGCGUUCAUAUACACGCGCAUAUCAAAAAGGCUUUCGUCCUGUUUUAUAAAUAAAGCAAACCGUCAAGAGCACACAUACACUCACUACUAUGAACACACAUACGCACUCCCUACCCAUAUGAGCAUCUCCGGAAGAUUAGGCCGGCAUAUCAUCUUGAAAUUUACGAGUCACCGUAGGCACCUCGUCGUCGACGGGUACGUCUCCUUUCACUGAAUGCACAUCGCUGAAAAUCCUAAAAUAAAUUCAGAAAUAAAUGCGAGCAUCAGGAGUUGAACUCUGAUGGGCUGAAGAUCCACAGUCCCUUUAACCAUCCAAUCACAAAUUGAUCCGCAAAUGCAUGGUAGCUAUUCCAGAAAAGUGAAGCAUGUGCACGUACGACAACGCAGCCAACCGUAACUUCCAUGUUGGAGUGUCAGGGGCGUUGCCAGGCCCCGGACAACUGCGCCUUGGCCCGGGGCAUGGUAGCCAUUCUCUUUGUGACUGUAGCCACAGUAAACAGUUUUUAUCAAUGCUCAAAAAAAGCAAACACUUUUUUACUACUGAAGUUGGCCUGGGCCCUUUGGGAGUGUCGACGUGGACUAGCUUACCAUCGUGCACCAAAGCUACCACCCAAUUUAUAAGAGCCAGUGGUGCUCGUGCUCUAGUGCACCAUACACACACCUACACCUACGGAUAGGAUAGCAGCAGCAGCUUGUUACGUCUCGUCCUCUUCACUUCACUUGUCUCUCUUCUCACCUCUGCUUCCUUCCCUAGCUUUGCCAUGUUUCACGAGGCUUGUUCAAGUUGAUGACCUGCGCUAAUGUUGUGUUGUGUGUGGUCCGGGGUGGUAGCUCCAAUGCCACUAGUAGCAGGACGCAGCUGAGAUAAUAACAUUUGCAUGUAUGGCUAAAUUUGAAUAGGCCUUUCGGCCGGAGUGAAGGUGUGUAUAUAUGAAUGAACGAUACGCUACGUAUCAAUGUUUGCUGGUCUCGUGUCCCUCCCUCCGCACUUUCUGUUUUUCCUUUUUGUAGCCUUGUAGGCACGCUGGCACAGCCAUUUUCAUUUGUCUCUUACAGGCUUAAUCAGUAUUUCAUCCGUUCAAAAUAAAUGUCUCAAUUUUAUACUAAUUUCAACAUGUGUUAAUAGCCCUAAUUAUUAGUCCUACUGUCUGAUGCAUGCUGAUAUAAUGAACAGAGUGGUAACAUCAGUUUGGCUAUUCCAUAUUUGAAAUAUGUACCGAUACGCCGUCCCCUGCAGCGCUCGAGCGCGCCUCGCCUCAAGGGGAGGAGCUCCCGAGCACCAAACGCGCCGCCCGUCUUCGUCGUUCAGUGUCGCCGCCUUCUCCUCCGGCGAGCCGUCGCCGCCGUCGCACCCUCUGCUUCUUUUCAUGCCCUCCAUCCUCCAUCCUCCUUCCUCCUCUCUAAUCUCUUUCUUCUCGCUGCUAUCCCCUCUGAAAGGAGCUCCUGCGCUGUACCCCCAUCGCCCAGAUGGCCGUGACCUCCGGCGACUCCCUGAAGACCGCCGCCAAACCCUGCCUGUACCUCUUCGCCGGCCGACCGGCUUGAUCUGGUGCUCGCUGCUGCCGGAAAUGCAGCUCCGUCUGACGGCUGCGACCUCCGGUGCCUCCAUGACGUCUGCCACCGACCCCACCUCACCAGUCCGUCGGCCAUCUGGCUCGCUGUUGUGGAUUUUGCUCCCGUCGAGCUGCAUCGAAUCAGAGCUACUGUUCAGAGCAGAAAAUGGAAUUAUUCAGAGCUGCACGUCAGCUAUUUAAGGAGAAGGCUGGCACAGUUCAACUGUUGGAGAUAAUCAGGAUUGCGUUGGGUCUGUAGGUGAUUUUUUGCAGAAAGUUUGAGGAAUAUGGUUAGAUUUCUCUUGAGAUUUUUUCCAUGCAUUAUUCUCUAUCUUGGAGUUGAGUUUGCUUGUUAGGACACAGAGAUCAGCAGUUGUUGAUCCUGGGUGGUGGUGUGUUGUCUUUUUAUCUUGUCGUCGAAUCUAGGUGUGGUGAUUUGUGUACUGGUUUUGCAAGAAGUAACUUGUCUUUUUGAGAGUUUUUCUCUCUUAUGUUUGAGAUGCAUCUCAUGUUUGCUUUAACAAUCUUAUCUGUGAUUUUAUAGAUUGUAAGAUAAUCGGCCAAAACUGUAGGUAAGACUUGCAUAAACAACAUGGUAACUUGCAUAUCGCAAGUGUGUUAACUUACAUAGCCCCGGCCAGAUAACUUUAUGGACCUAGAAAUAAAUGUUUCCUUAAAGUUGUUGAAGCAUACUCGGUAGCUUUUAUCUGUAUAUCAUGAUAAUUUAUGCAUUGCAUACCUGAUAACUUGCAAUACCAUGAUAAAUUUUACCUGACUUUUUCUAACGAAAAAACGUCCGAUAACUUUUGUGUAAAUAGCAUGAUAAUUUACGCACCGCAUUCCCGAUAAAUUAUAUACAAACAUCAUGGUAACGUUGACCCGUGGAAAUUUUUAUUGGAAACAUAUCAUCGGUAACUUUUGUGUAAAUAUGAUGAUAAUUUAUGCACUAAUUAUAUGUAAAUUGGUAAUAUACGCACAAGAGAGCUGGUAACUCACAUACAAAUACACAGUAACUUUUGACCACAGAAAAAAGUUAUUGAAAACAUAACCCCAAUAAUUUAUGUGAAAAUAGCAUGGUAAUAUACGAUCUUCAUACCCGAUGACUUACAUAAAAACAACGCGACAACUUUGAUCAAGGAUGUUAAAAAGUUGUUGAAAAACAUAACCCGAUAACUUAUGUGAAAAUAGCAUGAUAAUAUAUGAACCACAUAUCCGAUAACUUACAUACAAACAUCACGGUAGCUUUGAACCGAGGNNNNNNNNNNNNNNNNNNNNNNNNNNNNNNNNNNNNNNNNNNNNNNNNNNNNNNNNNNNNNNNNNNNNNNNNNNNNNNNNNNNNNNNNNNNNNNNNNNNNNNNNNNNNNNNNNNNNNNNNNNNNNNNNNNNNNNNNNNNNNNNNNNNNNNNNNNNNNNNNNNNNNNNNNNNNNNNNNNNNNNNNNNNNNNNNNNNNNNNNNNNNNNNNNNNNNNNNNNNNNNNNNNNNNNNNNNNNNNNNNNNNNNNNNNNNNNNNNNNNNNNNNNNNNNNNNNNNNNNNNNNNNNNNNNNNNNNNNNNNNNNNNNNNNNNNNNNNNNNNNNNNNNNNNNNNNNNNNNNNNNNNNNNNNNNNNNNNNNNNUAAUGCACGAACCGCAUACCUAGCAACUCACAUACAAAUUGCGGUAAAUUUGACCAAGGGAAAGUGGGUAGUUGUUAAAAAAACAUACCCUGGUAACUUAAGUGAAAGUAGCACGAUAAGUUGCAUACGACACGCGUGGGUAACUUUAUGUAUCCCAUGCGUGAUAACUUUUGACGCAUAACUUACGUACAAACACCACGAUAACUCUUACCAAAAGGGAAAAUGUUGUUAAAAAAUAUAACCUCGGUAACUUAUGUGAAAAUAGCAUGGUAACUUGCAUAGAACAGGCGUGGUAACUUAUGUAGCCCAUGCAUGGUCACUUUUGUCCCGGACAAAAUUCAUUGGAACAUACCAACGUGGGGUCUUGUUUUGAAGAUUAUCAUUGUGAUGAAUCAUUUAUGUGAAAACGAUUUUGCAUUGGACCUACUACUAGAGUUACAAAACAUUUUGAAUUUUCAAAAUAGGGAAGAGUCUAGGAAGACAUUAAUUUUUGUCCUCUAGUGCAAACAUGCAUCUACACAUGGAGAAAGGUGGGAAAACCAUUUUUAUGCCACGGAUAACUUAUGUGGAAAUACUAUGAUAACUUGCAUAGAAUGGGCGUGGCAAUUUAUGUAGACAAGGCAUGGUAACUUUUGACCAGAAAAAAAGUCGUCGGAACAUACCAACAUGGGAUCUAGUUUUGAAGAUCUCGUCGUAAGGAAUCUUUUAUGUGAAAACGAUUUUUGCAUCGGACCAACGGUUUGAGCUAGAAAACAUUUUGAAUUUUUGAAAUAAGAGAGAAUUUAGGAUGACAUCAACUUUUUUGUCCUCUAGUACAUAGACAUAUGUAACUAGGUAGAGGGAUGGACGUAGAAGUAGAGUUAGUCAACCUAAUCGAUGCAUCCUAAUGCAUGCAUGCAUGCAUGUAUUUAUAUGGGAGGAAGGAGGCGUGUGGUAGUUUUGCUACCCACCACACGUGUGCCAAAUAUGAUGAUCCUUCCAUGUUUUCCUUUCGACAAACAGAAAUAAAUUAAAUAGUUCACUGUUUUUUAGAUCAAUCUCACUAUCUCAGCAUGUGAUACAGUUGUAUGAGAUCUAUUAUGCGGAUUUCGAGCAGGUUCUGCGCACCAAUUAUAUACCAACAUUAAAUUAUGUUGGACUGUGAUAACGUCCAAUCGUUAUAAUUUUAGGCGAUCAUACCGAACGAUUCAUCCACUAGUAUAGGCUGCGGUCGUUGUUCCUUUCCUAAUACAAAACCGAACACAUUGAGCUGAUUCUUUCUUAAUUCUUGCAUGCAUGCAUAUAAGAUAAAAAUGAUGAUGUUAGCGAGGAUUCCAUCGAAUUCAAAAGUUCAAAAUGUUUUAUAGCUCAAACCGUCGCUCCGGUUCAAAAACCGUUUUCACAUAAUCGUCAUGAUGAGACUUUUAAAACUAGAUCCCAUGUUAAUAUGUUCUGACGACUUUUUUUCGGGUAAAAAGUUAUGAGGCCUAGGAUAAGUAAGUUAUCACGUCGGUGGUUCAUAAGUUAUCAUUUUGUUUACAUAGCAAUGAAUGAGAAAUAAAAAUGGUCCAUCCAACCUCCUCCCCACAUACAAAUGCACGAGAGGACGAGAAAGUUGAUGUCCUUGUAGAUUCUCCAUAUUUCGGAACUUCAAAAUAUGCUUUGACGAUAUAUUCUUUCUGGCUAAAAGUUGCGUGUAUUUCCAUGUUGUUUACACGGGAAUUAUUGGGGUACGUUUUCCAAUAACUUUUUUCACCGAGUCAAAAAAUAAUCGUGGUGUUUAUAGUAACUCAUCAAGUUUGUGUUCAUAUGUCAAUAUGCUAUUUACACCAAAGUUAGCCAGGUACUUUUUUGACAACUUUUCCAAUGGGUCAAAAAGUUACCAUGGUGUUUGUACUAAGUUAUCACGUCUGCGGUGGGUAUAUUACCAUGUUAUUUACACAAAAGUUACCGGGUACGUUGUCAACAAUUUUUUUCUUCAGGUCAAAGUUACCGCGGUGUUUAUACCUAAGUUAUCAGGUCUGCGGGAUGUAUGUUACCAUGCUAUUUACACAUAGGUUUCUGGGGUAUGUUUUCAUUAACUUUUAUUUUCCUGGUCAAAAGUUAGCGUGAUGAUUGUACGUAAGUUAUCAGCUCUAUAGUUAGAGUGGUACAUUUGAACAUUUUUUCCUUGAGUCAAGUUACUGCAGUAAUUGUAACUAAGUUACCAAGUCAGCAUUUUGUAUGCUAUCAUACUAUUUACAUAGAAGUUAUCAGACAAGUGUAUUGAACAACAAUUUUUUUCACGUAAAACUUACCGCGGUGUUUGGAUCAAAGUUAUCAGGCAUGCGGUGCUUAUAUUACCAUGGUAUUUACACAAGUUAUUGAGGUUAUGUUUUACAACAAUUUUUUCCGAGUCUUAAGUUAUCGCGGUGUUUGUGCCUAAAUUAUCUAGUCUGCGGUGCGUAUAUUAUCAUGCUAUUAUACAGAAGUUAUCAAGGGUACGCAUUCAACAAUAAAUUUCUCCGGGUCAAAGCUAUCGGCGCUGUUGGUACCUAAGUUACUAUGUCCGUGGUGUAUAUAUUGUCAUGCUAUUUAUACAAAAGUUACCAACAUGUGGUCAGCAUUGUGCACUUAAACAAGUAAACAUGUUGGUAAUUUAACAUGAUUGGUCUGCUAAUUAUGGCAUGUAUUGCCUGAAAACAUAUAUCAUCAUUGCAUUAAUAACUUUUGAAGCUGAUUGGAGUUCUUCAAGUUGAUAACUAUAUAUGACGAAGAACAUUAGAUUUAGAUGCAGCUCAUGUGUAAGAAGGAUCUCUGCUUAAUUAAUAAUCAUAAUGAUUUAUUAGUGUAAAAGGGGGUACGUUUCGAUCAUCUGUUAGGACGUUGAUAGUUCAUGAAGGAAAUAUGCCCUAGAGGCAAUAAUAAAGUUAUUAUUUAUUUUCUUAUAUCAUGAUAAAUGUUUAUUAUUCAUGCUAGAAUUGUAUUAACCGGAAACAUAAUACAUGUGUGAAUACAUAGACAAACAGAGUGUCACUAGUAUGCCUCUACUUGACUAGCUCGUUGAUCAAAGAUGUUAUGUUUCCUAACCAUAGACAUGAGUUGUCAUUUGAUUAACGGGAUCACAUCAUUAGGAGAAUGAUGUGAUUGACUUGACCCAUUCCGUUAGCUUAGCACUUGAUCGUUUAGUUUGUUGCUAUUGCUUUCUUCAUGACUUAUACAUGUUCCUAUGACUAUGAGAUUAUGCAACUCCCGUUUACCGGAGGAACACUUUGUGUGCCACCAAACGUCACAACGUAACUGGGUGAUUAUAAAGGUGCUCUACAGGUGUCUCCGAAGGUACUUGUUGGGUUGGCGUAUUUUGAGAUUAGGAUUUGUCACUCCGAUUGUCGGAGAUGUAUCUCUGGGCCCACUUGGUAAUGCACAUCACUAUAAGCCUUGCGAGCAUUUUAACUAAUGAGUUAGUUGCGGGAUGAUGUAUUACGGAACGAGUAAAGAUACUUGCCGGUAACGAGAUUGAACUAGGUAUUGAGAUACCGACGACCGAAUCUCGGGCAAGUAACAUACCGAUGACAAAGGGAACAACGUAUGUUGUUAUUCGGUUUGGCCGAUAAAGAUCUUCGUAGAAUAUGUAGGAGCCAAUAUGAGCAUCCAGGUUCCGCUAUUGGUUAUUGACCGGAGACGCGUCUCGGUCAUGUCUACAUAGUUCUCGAACCCGUAGGGUCCGCACGCUUAAAGUUCGAUGACGGUUAUAUUAUGAGUUUAUGUGUUUUGAUGGACCGAAGGUAGUUAGGAGUCCCGGCUGAGAUCGGGGACAUGACGAGGGGUCUCGAAAUGGUUGAGACGUAAAUAUCGAUAUAUUGGAUGACUAUAUUCGUACAUCGGAAAGGUUCCGAGUGAUUCGGGUAUUUAUCGGAGUAUCGGGGAGUUACGGGAAUUCGCCGGGGAGUGUAUGGGCCUUAUUGGGCUUUAGGGGAAAGAGAGAGAGGCAGACCGCGCCCCCCAAGGCCUAGUCCGAAUUAGACUAGGGGGAAGGGCUGCGCCCCCUCCUUCCUUCUCUUCUCUUUUCCCUUUCCUUCUCUCCUACUCCUACUACUUGGAAGGGCUCCUAGUUCUACUAUGAAAGGGGGAAUCCUACUCCCGGUGGGAGUAGGACUCCCCUAGGGCGCGCCAUAGAGAGGGCCGGCCCCUCCCAUCCUCCACUCCUUUAUAUACGUGGCCAGGGGGAACCCCAUAGACACAACAAUUGAUCUCUUGAUCUCUUAGUCGUGUGCGGUGCCCCCCUCCACCAUAAUCCACCUCGGUCAUAUUGUAGCGGUGCUUAGGCGAAGUCCUGCGUCGGUAGAACAUCAUCAUCGUCACCACGCCGUCGUGCUGAUGGAACUCUCCCUCAAAGCUCGGCUGGAUCGGAGUUUGAGGGACGUCAUCGAGUUGAACGUGUGCAGAACUCGAAGGUGCCGUGCGUUCGGUACUUGAUCGGUCGGAUCGUGAAGACGUACGACUACAUCAACCGUGUUGUGCUAACGCUUCCACUUUCGGUCUACGAGGGUACGUGAACACACUCUUCCCUCUCGUUGCUAUGCAUCACCAUGAUCAUGCGUGUGCGUAGGAUUUUUUUUGAAAUUACUACGUUCCCCAACAGUGGCAUCUGAGCCUGGUUUUAUGCAUAGAUGUCAUAUGCACGAGUAUAACACAAGUGAGUUGUGGGUGAUAUAAGUCAUACUGCUUACCAGCAUGUCAUACUUUGGUUCGGCGGUAUUGUUGGAUGAAGCGGCCCGGAUCGACAUUACGCGUACGCUUACGCGAGACUGGUUCUACCGACGUGCUUUGCACACAGGUGGCUGGCAGGUGUCAGUUUCUCCAACUUUAGUUGAACCGAGUGUGGCUACGCCCGGUCCUUGCGAAGGUUAAAACAACACCAACUUGACAAACUAUCAUUGUGGUUUUCAUGCAUAGGUAAGAACGGUUCUUGCUAAGCCCAUAGCAACCACGUAAAAUUUGCAACAAGAAAGUGGAGGACGUCUAACUUGUUUUUGCAGGGCAUGUUGUGAUGUGAUAUGGUCAAGACAUGAUGCUAAAUUUUAUUGUAUGGGAUGAUCAUGUUUUGUAACCGAGUUAUCGGCAACUGGCAGGAGCCAUAUGGUUGUCGCUUUAUUGUAUGCAAUGCAAUCGCCCUGUAAUGCUUUACUUUAUCACUAAGCGGUUGCGACAGUCGUAGAAGCAUAAGAUUGGCGAGACGACAAUGAUGCUACGAUGGAGAUCAAGGUGUCGCGCUGGUGACGAUGGUGAUCAUGACGGUGCUUCGGAGAUGGAGAUCACAAGAACAAGAUGAUGAUGGCCAUAUCAUAUCACUUAUAUUGAUUGCAUGUGAUGUUUAUCUUUAUAUGCAUCUUAUCUUGCUUUGAUUGACGGUAGCAUUAUAAGAUGAUCCAUCAAUAAAUUAUCAAAGUAUAAGUGUUCUCCCUGAGUAUGCACGGUUGCGAAAGUUCUUCGUGCUGAGACAUCAUGUGAUGAUCGGGUGUGAUAGGCUCUACGUUCAAAUACAACGGGUGCAAAACAGUUGCACACGCGGAAUACUCAGGAUAAACUUGACGAGCCUAGCAUAUAACAGAUAUGGCCUCGGAACACUGAGACUGAAAGGUCGAGCGUGAAUCAUAUAGUAGAUAUGAUCAACAUAGAGAUGUUCACCGUUGAAAUUACUCCAUCUCACGUGAUGAUCGGACAUGGUUUAGUUGAUAUGGAUCACGUGAUCACUUAAAGGAUUAGAGGGAUAUCUAUCUAAGUGGGAGUUCUUAAGUAAUAUGAUUAAUUGAACUUAAAUUUAUCAUGAACUUAGUCCUGGUAGUAUUAGCAUAUCUAUGUUGUAGAUCAAUAGCUCGCAUUUAGCUCCCCUGUUUUAUUUUUGAUAUGUUCCUAGAGAAAACUAUGUUGAAAGAUGUUAGUAGUAAUGAUGUGGAUUGGAUCCGUGAUCUGAGGUUUAUCCUCAUUGCUGCACAGAAGAAUUAUAUCCUUGAUGCACCGCUAGGUGACAAACCUAUUGCAGGAGCAUAUGCAGAUGUUAUGAACGUUUGGCUAGCUCAAUAUGAUGACUACUUGAUAGUUUAGUGCACUAGCUUAAACGGCUUAGAAUCGGGACUUCAAAGAUGUUUUGAACGUCAUGGACCAUAUGAGAUGUUCCAGGAGUUGAAGUUAAUAUUUCAAGCAAAUACCCGAGUUGAUAGAUAUGAAGUCUCCAACAAGUUCUAUAGCUAAAAAAUGGAGGAGAAUAGCUCAAGUAGUGAUCAUGUGCUCAGAUUGUCUAGGCACUACAAUCACUUGAAUCAAGUGGGAGUUAAUCUUCCAGAUAAAAUAGCGAUUGACAGAAUUCUCUAGUCACCAUCACCAAGUUAGUAGAACUUCAUGAUGAACUAUAAUAUGCAAGGGAUAACGGAAACAAUUCCCAAACUCUUUGUGUUGCUGAAAACGACGAAGGUAGAAAUCAAGAAAAGUAUCAAGUGUUGAUGGUAAACAAAACCACUAGUUUCAAGUAAAGGGCAAAGAGAAAGAAAUGGAACUUCAAGAAGAACAGCAAGCAAGUUGCUGCUCAAGUGAAGAAGCCCAAGUCUGGACCUAAGCAUGAGACUAAGUUCUUCUACUGCAAAGGGACUGGUCACUGGAAGCGGAACUACCCCAAGUAAUUGGAGGAUAAGAAGGAUGGCAAAGUGAACAUAAGUAUAUUUGAUAUACAUGUUAUUGAUGUGUACUUUACUAGUGUUUAUAGCAACCACUCAGUAUUUGAUACUAGUUCAGUUGCUAAGAUUAGUAACUCGAAACGGGAGUUGCAGAAUGAACAGAGACUAGUUAAGGGUGAAGUGACAAUGUGUGUUGGAAGUGGUUCCAAGAUUGAUAUGAUCAUCAUCGCACACUCCCUAUACUUUCGGGAUUAGUGUUGAACCUAAAUAAGUGUUAUUUGGUGUUUGUGUUGAGCAUGAAUAUGAUUUGAUCAUGUUUAUUGCAAUACAGUUAUUCAUUUAAGAUAGAGAAUAAUUGUUGUUCUGUUUACAUGAAUAAAACCUUAUAUGUCUACACACCCAAUGAAAAUGGUUUGUUGGAUCUCGAUCGUGGUGAUACACAUUUUUAUAAUAUUGGAGCCAAAACAUGCAAAGUUAAUAAGAGUGCAACUUAUUUGUGGCACUGAGGUCAUAUUGGUGUAAAGCGCAUGAAGAAAAUCCAUGCUGAUGGACUUUUCGAAUCACUUGAUUAUGAAUCAGUUGAUGCUUGCGAACCAUGCCUCAUGGGCAAGAUGACCAAGACUCCGUUCUCCGGAACAAUGGAGCGAGCAACAGAUUUGUUGGAAAUCAUACAUACUGAUGAAUGUGGUCCGAUGAAUAUUGAGGCUCGUGGCAGGUAUCAUUAUUUUCUGAUCUUCAUAGAUGAUUUGAGCAGAUAUGAGUAUAUCUACUUGAUGAAACACAAGUCUGAAACAUUUGAAAAGUUCAAAGAAUUUCAGAGUGAAGUGGAGAAUCAUCGUAACAAAAAUAAAAGUUUCUACGAUAUGAUCGCAGAAGUAAAAUAUUUGAGUUACGAGUUUGGCUUUCAGUUAAAACAAUGUGAAAUAGUUUCACUACUCACGCUACCUAGAAAACCACAGUGUAAUGGUGUGUCUGAACGUCGUAACCGUACUUUAUUAGAGAUGGUGCGAUCUAUGAUGUCUCUUACCAAUUUACCACUAUCGUUUUGGGGUUAUGCAUUAAAGACAGCUACAUUCACGUUAAAUAGGGCACCAUCUAAAUCCAUUGAGACGACACCGUAUGAACUAUGGUUUGGCAAGAAACCUAAGCUAUCGUUUCUUAAAGUUUGAGGUUGCAAUGCUUAUGUGAAAAAGUUUCAACCUGAUAAUCUCAAACCCAAAUCGGAGAAGUGCAUCUUCAUAGGAUACCCAAAAGAAAAUAUUGGGUACACCUUCUAUCACAGAUCCGAAGGCAAGAUAUUCAUUGCUAAGAAUGAAUCCUUUCUAGAGAAGAAGUUUCUCUCGAAAGAAGUGAGUGAGAGGAAAGUAGAACUUGAUGAGGUAACUGUACCUGCUCCUUUAUUGGAAAGUAGUUCAUCACAGAAAUAUGUUGCUGUGACUACUACACCAAUUAGUGAGGAAGCUAAUGAUAAUGAUCAUGUAACUUCAGAUCAAGUUACUAUCGAACCUCGUAGGUAAACCAGAGUGAGAUCCGCACCAGAGUGGUACAGUAAUUGUGACAUCCUGGUUUUUGCCCUCUGUUAUUUGAUUGAUCUCCAUUUGAAAAUUUUCUGAAACUUGGAGUUCUUGAAUCUUUUCAUAUGGACUUCAAUACUUGGGCAUCCUUGGCUUUCACCCAAGUGCUUCACUUCCCUCCUAAAUCAUCAUUUCUUUUUUGAUCCACCCCCAAAAUAAUCUUUGGAAUAUUUUUAUUAAAUGAAAAAUAUUCAUUUUCUCUCAAAAACCCUAGCCAGAUCAGUUUGCUUCAAAGCAACCCUAAUUUUUAUGGCUCAGAAAAAUCUGAGAUAAUUCACAAAUAUUCUGUGCACCUCCCUGAGCAAAAAUAUUUCAUCACUUUUUGGAAUAUUUUUGCUACAGAAAAUAUUUUCUGUUCUGGACAGAAAUGGUGGUUUCUACAGCAACUACCAUUUUACUUGAUCCUUUUGACCUGAACUUUCUUGUGCAUCUUUACCUUAGUAACUCAUGACUAGCCUCCAAAGCACAACCUCUAACUCCCAGACAUUUGACCACAGUGACUGUUCAAAGUUACUGAUCAGAAACUUACCUGGCUUGUAAAAACCUCUCUACUACACCUGGAUCCAAACCAAAUCGUGGUAACACUCAAAACUACCACGAAUAACUUGCCAUACAUGAAGUUUAUGCUUAGAUCGGCCUGAUGUCAUAGUUCACGCGGUGACCACGUUCGUCCAGGGGUGUUGGCAUGCGUGUCGACGCGCUCUGAGUGCCGCCGAGCGCUCUGUUCGCGCGUGCUCGCUUCCCUCGCCUGCCCGAGCAUGCCAAACCGCGCCACCAUCUUCAUCUCAUCGCCAUUAACCUCCCUCUGGCGCUCGCCGACGCGGGAGCUCGCUGCAGCGAGCACGGGCAAGGUCCGGCUAGCUCAACAGUGCGGAGCGCACUGUGCUCAUCGCCUUCCCCUCGAUCUUGUGCUCGUCUCCGUCCGCCCACAGUUGCCUCGUGACCUGCCUCGCCUUCUCCCCCUCUCACUGACGCCGCUUGUCGCCGGGCGCCAUGGACAAGUGUCCACCGGCGGAGCCCGAAACCCCCCUCGCCGCUCGCCUAUAAAUGGAGCCACCCCCAGCCUCCUCGAGCACCAUCCAGCACUCGCACACACUCCACAAUCACGUAGCAAGCCGGAGCCCGGUUGGGCAGGCCUCGGGCCGCCGUCCCCGAGCUCGAGCUUGCCGGCGAUCCCCUCUGGUCGCCUCGGUAGCUCCAGCCCCUCCCAGGCCUGGGCGACCCCUCCAGGGCCUCCGCCUCUCUCCGGUGAGGCCGUCUCGCCCGCUUGGAGCCCCUGGAGUGGCCUCCGUUCGCCGUCUUCCUCAACUCCAGCAACCACUGUGUUCUGCCUCCACUUGCAAGCUUGAUUCCAAUGUCGUCUGACCACCCCUAGCUACGCUACGGGUACGGGCAGGUGCGCCACCAUCCCCUCUCUAAAUCCCUCCCUCUCAUUUUGGCCAAGGAGCCCUCAUCACCGGCGAGAGCUCUGGUAAAGCCGCAGCCUCCUCUGUUUCCUUCUCCCCCUUCCCCCACCUGACUAGCGGGGCCCGCUAGUCCGCCACACUGUACGCGUGGGAAGCAGUACGAGUGGUGGCACCCUGAGGUUUUACGCCUUCGACGUCACCCCCUCAGCUGUUUAUUUAAAUUCAAAAUCAUUUAAAUUCCAGAGAGCUUCAAACAGUUAUAACUCUUCAACCAUAAGUCCAAAUGAAUUGAUUCUUUUUGCAUUGUGUUCUUUGAAAAGAAAUCUAGCAGCUCACCAAAGAUGAGAUUUUUCUGAGCUGUUUAGAAUUUCUGGUGAUUUUCAGAAGUGUUCUUGAUAUUUGCCUUUUGUGUUUAAAUUUAUUUUCAGAGGGUGAGACUUGUCUUGAGGAUCACCAGAAGGCUUGUGAACCUCAUCUGCACUAAGGCAAGCCACAUCAACAUUUUCAUGGUGUCAUUUCAAUAUUUGUGAUUUUCUUACUUGAAUUAAAUGAUUAAUCCAUGUAUUUAAAUAACUAUGGUGUUAUUUUUAUUCUGUUAAAUGUUUGUGAGUUAUUAUGCUUGAUUUACAGAAUGUUGAAAUUAGUUUAAGUUGGGAGAGCCAAGAUAAGAUUUAUUUGCGGUGAUGAUAGUAAUGAUUUUUUUAUGCAUGUUAGUAAUUAUUUAAAGUUAUUCUCUUGCCUUAAAUAAAAUGAUAAAAAUUUGCUAAGAAAAUAUUCUGUUAAGUACUUAUUUAGUCAUUUUACUUGACUUGCAGAAUGCGUGAACCUAACUUGGAUGGGAAAGAAAUUAGGAAUUGCUUGUGGGAAAAUCUUUAUUAUUCACGUAAGAAAUUAAUCGGAGUUACGUUCUUGCAUGAGAAAAUUCUAAAACUUGCUACAAAAUAUUAUGGUUAAUAUGUGAGUUAUAUUGAUCAGUAAAGUAAUAUGACUUGUUGAUGUUUAUGCUUACUGUGUAUACGGAUGACAAUCGGUCUUUUUCAAUAUAAAGUGAUGCAUGUAUAGUUUUGCAUUUCAUGGCAUGCUAUGACACCGGUCGUGGUUGUGAUCGCCGUAAGGAUCACGAGUUACUCUUGUUAAGACCACGUGGGUGGUUUGUUUGUGAUUCGGGAAUGAUCACGGUUGGUAACUUGUCCCGAGGGACCUUCGAGCAUGACCACUGCAUGUUUGACAUGUAGUGUUGCAUUAUUAAUACUUGGUUAAGUAUCAUGAUAUUGUUUGCCUUUAUGAUUAUGUCUGUUGUGAGCUUGCAAGUACAUUCAAUGCAGUGAUGAUACGUCUCCAACGUAUCUAUAGUUUUUGAUUGCUCCUUGCUAUAUUAUCUACUGUUUUGGACAUUAUUGGGCUUUAUUAUUCACUUUUAUAUUAUUUUUGGGACUAACCUACUAACCGGAGGCCCAACCUAGAAUUGCUGUUUUUUGCCUGUUUUAGGGUUUCGAAGAAAAGGAAUAUCAAACAGAGUCCAAACGGAAUGAAACCUUCGGGAACGUGAUUUUCUCACCGAAUACAACUCAGGAGACUUGGACCCUACGUUAAGGCACGUAACAGGAGGCCACGAGGUAGGGGGCGCGCCCUACCCUACCAGGCGCGCCCCCACCCUCGUGGGCCCCCUGUUGCUCCACCGAUGUACUUCUUCCUUCUAUAUAUAUCCAUGUACCCCUAAACGAUCAGAUACAGAGCCAAAAACCUAAUUCCACCGCCGCAACUUUCUGUAUCCACGAGAUUCCAUCUUGGGGCCUGUUCCGGAGCUCCGCCGGAGGGGGCAUCGAUCACGGAGGGCUUCUACAUCAUCAUCCAAGCCUCUCCGAUGUAGUGUGAGUAGUUUACUUCAGACCUACGGGUCCAUAGUUAGUAGCUAUAUGGCUUCUUCUCUCUUUUUGGAUCUCAAUACAAUGUUCCCCCCUCUCUCGUGGAGAUCUAUUCGAUGUAAUCUUCUUUUUGCGGUGUGUUUGUUGAGACCGAUGAAUUGUGGGUUUAUGAUCAAGUCUAUGUAUGAAUAAUAUUUGAAUGUUCUCCGAAUUCUUUUAUGUAUGAUUGGUUAUCUUUGCAAGUCUCUUCGAAUUAUCAGUUUGUUUUGGCCUACUAGAUUGGUUGUUCUUGCCAUGGGAGAAGUGCUUAGCUUUGGGUUCGAUCUUGUGGUGUCCUUUCCUAGUGACAAAAGGGGCAGCAAGGCAUAUAUUGUAUCGUUGCCAUCGAGGAUAACAAGAUGGGGUUUUUAUCAUAUUGCAUGAAACUAUCCCUCUACAUCAUGUCAUCUUGCUUAAGGCGUUACUCUAUUUUUAACUUAAUACUCUAGAUGCAUGCUGGAUAGCGGUCGAUGAGUGGAGUAAUAGUAGUAGAUGUAGGCAGGAGUCGGUCUACUUGUCUCAGACGUGAUGCCUAUAUACAUGAUCAUACCUAGAUAUUCUCAUAACUAUGCUCAAAUCUGUCAAUUGCUCAACAGUAAUUUGUUCACCCACCGUAGAAUACUUAUGCUCUUGAGAGAUGCCACUAGUGAAACCUAUGGCCCCCGAGUCUCUUUCUCAUCAUAUUAAUCUCCAUCACUUUAUUAUUGCUUUGCUUUUACUUUUUACUUUGCAUCUCUAUACCAAAAAUACCAAAAAUAUUAUUUAUCAUCUCUAUUAGAUCUCACUUUCGUAAGUGACCGUGAAGGGAUUGACAACCCCUAAGCGCGUUGGUUGCGUUGAGCUAUUGUUUUUGUGUAGGUACGAGGGACUCGCGCGUAGCCUCCUACUGGAUUGAUACCUUGGUUCUCAAAAACUGAGGGAAAUACUUACGCUACUUUGCUGCAUCAUCCUCUCCUCUUCGGGGAAAUCCAACGCAGUGAUCAAGAGGUAGCAAGAAGAAUUUCUGGCGCCGUUGCCGGGGAGUCUGCGCAAAAGUCAACAUACCAAGUACCCAUCACAAGCCCUUGCCGUUUUAGCCCUCUCUCUCUCUCUCUCUCUCUAUCCUCCCUCUCUUUUUUGGCCAUUUGCCUUUUGUUUGCUCGUGUGUUAGUUUGCUAGCUUGUAGUUAUGUCAAGUCCUUUACCUUCUGCCUCUAUGUCUGAAAUUGAGGAAAUUAUUGCCGAUACGGACAAUAAUAAUAUCAUGAAAAAUUCUGAUGCUCCUGCUAAAGAACCUACUAUCUUUCAUACAAAAAAAAUUCCAUGUUGGUAGUGGUAAUAUUAUUGGAAAAGGAGUUAUUCAAGAUUUCUUUACUUGUGCCGGUGCUCUACCUUAUAUGGUUAGUUCUAUCCUUCACAAAACUAGUAGUCUUGCGGACGCUAUUGCCAUGCUUGUAGUUGAACUUGAAAGACAAUUCAUGCACAUGCAUCCUUCCAUACAAAGGAUUUUUCUGUAAUUUUCUAAUAUUGAGCAUUCUUCUGUUAAGCGUGCUACUACUAUCUUUUUGGCUCAUGAGUUUAGAUUUAUAAUAAAAUAAGCCAAAGAAAUCUUUGCGCAUUAUAGGGUGGACGCUUGCCGUCCUCCCAUAGAGGCUAUCCUCUUUGAUCAAGAAGAAAUAAUGCGUUUUCAAUCUCUAGACUAUGUUGCUUUCAAUGAAAAUCUUAGAAAAAGGGUUCCUACCAAUGUUUUAGUUGAUAGAAUUUCUGAACUUAAUGAUGAUUUGGCUAUUUGAAAUAAUGAACUAGGAUAUUCUCUUGAAUAUAGGCUCACAAAAUUCUGUCAAAAGAAUGCUUAUAAUGAUGAAUUGGUUGUGCAUUAUGAAGGACCAAAGGAGGAACCUAUACCUCCCAAGGUUGAUCUUGGAGACUUUUGUCCCAUUAAAUUUAGCCAUUUUGAUUACUUUUGCUUGCCUCAAAGAAAACUUGUUGCCGAACGUAGAGAAUAUGAAAUGAGUUUUAAUAAUCUAUCUUACUAUUAUGGCAAUACCUAGAUCUAUUCUUACUUGUUAUGCCUAGCUAGGGGCGUUAAACGAUAGCGCUUGUUGGGAGGCAACCCAAUUUUAUUUUUAUUCCUUACUUUUUGCUCCUGUUUAUUAAUAAAUAAAUUAUUUAGCCUCUGUUUUGGUUGUAUUUUUUGUGUUUAAUUAGUGUUUGUGCUAAGUAGAACCGUUGGGAAGACUUGGGGAAAGUCUUGUUGAACUUGCUGUAAAAAACAGAAACUUUAGCGCUCACGAGAACUGCUUCCAUUUUUAUUUGGAAAGUGAUAUUUAGUUAAUUAUUUUUGAAGAUGAUUAAUAGAUAAAUUCCUCACAUCCAGCAAUUUAUUUUAGAAUUUUUGGGGUUCCAGAUCUUGCGCUAGCUACAUAUUACUACAGACUGUUCUGUUUUUGACAGAUUCUGUUUUUCGUGUGUUGUUUGCUUAUUUUGAUGAAUCUAUGGCUAGUAAAAUAGUUUAUGAACCAUAGAGAAGUUGGAAUACAGUAGGUAUAACACCCAUAUAAAUAAAGAAUGAAUUCAUUACAGUACCUUAAAGUGGUAUUUUGUUUUCUUUCGCUAACGGAGCUCAUGAGUUUUCUAUUUUAAGUUUUGUGUUGUGAAGUUUUCAAGUUUUGGGUAAAGAUUUGAUGGAUUAUGGAACAAGGAGUGGCAAGAGCCUAAGCUUGGGGAUGCCCAUGACACCCCCAAGAUAAUCUAAGGACACCUAAAAGCCAAAGCUUGGGGAUGCCCCGGAAGGCAUCCCCUCUCUCGUCUACUUCUAUCGGUAACUUUACUUGGAGCUAUAUUUUUAUUCACCACACAAUAUGUGUUUUGCUUGGAGCGUCUUUUAUAAUUUGAGUCUUUGCUUGUUAGUUUACCACAAUCAUCCUUGCUGUACACACAUUUUGAGAAAGCCAUACAUAAUUUUGAAUUUGAUAGAAUACUCUAUGUGCUUCACUUAUAUCUUUUGAGCUCUAUAGUUUUACUCUAGUGCUUCACUUAUAUCUUUUGAGUUAUAUAAUUUUGCUCUAGUGCUUCACUUAUAUCUUUUAGAGCAUGGUGGUGGAUUUGUUUUAUAGAAACUAUUGAUCUCUCAUGCUUCACUUAGUUAUUUUGAGAGUCUUAAUAGCAUGGUAAUUUGCUUAAUAAUAAUACGCUUGGUAUUCAAGAUUUGUAAAACUUUAUUUUGAGUGUGUUGAAUACUAAGAAAAAAUUGAUGCUUGAUCAUUGUUUUGAGAUAUGAGGAUGGUGAUAUUAGAGUCAUGCUAGUUGAGUAGUUGUGAAUUUGAGAAAUGCUUGUGUUAAAGUUUGUGAUUCCCGUAGCAUGCACGUAUGGUGAACCGUUAUGUGAUGAAGUCAAAGCAUGAUUUAUUUAUCGAUUGUCUUCCUUAUGAGUGGCGGUCGGGGACGAGCGAUGGUCUUUUACUACCAAUCUAUCCCCCUAGGAGCAUGCGCGUAAUACUUUGCUUUGAUAACUUCUAGAUUUUUACAAUAAGUAUAUGAGUUCUUUAUGACUAAUGUUGAGUCCAUGGAUUAUACGCACUUUCCUUCCUUCCACCAUUGCUAGCCUCUCUAAUACCAUGCACUUUUCACCGAUAUCAUACACCCACCAAAUACCUUCCUAAAAAUAGCCACCACACCUACCUAUCAUGGCAUUUCCAUAGCUAUUCUGAGAUAUAUUGCCAUGCAACUUUCCACCGUUCUGUUCAUUAUAACACACUCCAUCAUUGUCAUAUUGCUAGCAUGAUCAUGUAGUUGACAUCGUAUUUGUGGCAAAGCCACCAUUCAUAAUUCUUUCAUAAAUAUCACUCUUGAUUCAUUGCAUAUCCCGGUACACCGUCGGAGGCAUUCAUAUAGAGUCAUAUUUUGUUCUAAGUAUUGAGUUGUAAUUGUUGAGUUGUAAGAAAAAUAAAAAGUGUGAUGAUCAUCAUUUUUAGAGCAUUGUACCAAGUGAGGAAAGGAUGAUGGAGACUAUGAUUCCCCCACAAGUCGGGAUGAGACUCCGGACGAAAAAUAAAAAAGAGGCCAUAAAAAAAGAGAAGGCCCAAAUAAAAAAAAUGAGAGAAAAAGAGAGAAGGGAUAAUGUUACUAUCCUUUUACCACACUUGUGCUUCAAAGUAGCACCAUGAUCUUCAUGAUAGAGAGUCUCUCAUUCUGUCACUUUCAUAUACUAGUGGGAAUUUUUCAUUAUAGAACUUGGCUUGUAUAUUCCAAAGUUGGGCUUCCUCAAAAUGCCCUAUGUCUUCGUGAGCAAGCGAGUUGGAUGCACACCCACUUAGUUUCUUUUGUUGAGCUUUCAUAUACUUAUAGCUCUAGUGCAUCCGUUGCAUGGCAAUCCCUACUCACUCACAUUGAUAUCUAUUGAUGGGCAUCUCCAUAGCCCGUUGAUACGCCUAGUUGAUGUGAGACUAUCUUCUCCCUUUUUGUCUUCUCCACAACCACCAUUCUAUUCCACAUAUAGUGCUAUAUCCAUGGCUCACGCUCAUGUAUUACGUGAAGAUCGAAAAAGUUUUGAAAAUGUCAAAAGUAUGAAACAAUUGCUUGGCUUGUCAUCGGGGUUGUGCAUGAUUUAAAUACUUUGUGUGGUGAAGAUAGAGCAUAGCCAGACUAUAUGAUUUUGUAGGGAUAGCUUUCUUUGGCCAUGUUAUUUUGAGAAGACAUAAUUGCUUUGUUAGUAUGCUUGAAGUAUUAUUAUUUUUAUGUCAACAUGAACUUUUGUCUUAAAUCUUUUGAAUCUGAAUAUUCAUACCACAAUUAAGAAGAUUUACAUUGAAAUUAUGCCAAGUAGCACUCCACAUCAAAAAUUCUGUUUUUAUCAUUUACCUACUCGAGGACGAGCGGGAAUUAAGCUUGGGGAUGCUUGAUACGUCUCCAACUUAUCUAUAAUUUUUGAUUGCUCCAUGCUAUAUUAUCUAAUGUUUUGGACAUUAUUGGGCUUUAUUAUCCACUUUUAUAUUAUUUUUGGGACUAACCUACUAAUCGGAGGCCCAACCCAGAAUUGCUAUUUUUUUUGCCUGUUUUAGGCUUUCGAAGAAAAGGAAUAUCAAAUGGAGUCCAAACGGAAUGAAACCUUCGGGAACAUGAUUUUCUCACCGAAUACAACUCAUGAGACAUGGACCCUACGUCAAGGCAUGUAACAGGAGGCCACGAGGUAGGGGGGUGCGCCCUACCCUACCAGGCGCGCCCCCACCCUCGUGGGCCCCCUGUUGCUCCACCGACGUACUUCUUCCUCCUAUAUAUAUCCACGUACCCCCAAAUGAUCAGAUACGGAGCCAAAAACCUAAUUCCACCGCCACAACUUUCUGUAUCCACGAGAUCCCAUCUUGGGGCCUAUUCCGGAGCUCCGCUGGAGGGGGAAUCGAUCACGUAGGGCUUCUACAUCAUCAUCCAAGCCUCUCCGAUGAAGUGUGAGUAGUUUACUUUAGACCUACGGGUCCAUAGUUAGUAGCUAGAUGGCUUCUUCUCUCUUUUUGGAUCUCAAUACAAUGUUCUUCCCCUCUCUCGUGGAGAUCUAUUCGAUGUAAUCUUAUUUUUGUGGUGUGUUUGUUGAGACCGAUGAAUUGUGGGUUUACGAUCAAGUCUAUCUAUGAAUAAUAUUUGAAUCUUCUCUGAAUUCUUUUGUGUAUGAUUGGUUAUCUUUGCAAGUCUCUUCGAAUUAUCAGUUUGUUUUGGCCUACUAGAUUGGUUGUUCUUGCCAUGGGAGAAGUGCUUAGCUUUGGGUUCGAUCUUGCGGUGUCCUUUCCCAGUGACAGAAGGGGCAGCAUGGCACGUAUUGUAUCGUUGCCGUCGAGGAUAACAAGAUGGGGUUUUUAUCAUAUUGCAUGAAACUAUCCCUCUACAUCAUGUCAUCUUGCUUAAGGCGUUACUCUGUUUUUAACUUAAUACUCUAGAUGCAUGCUGGAUAGCGGUCGAUGAGUGGAGUAAUAGUAGUAGAUGCAGGCAGGAGUCGGUCUACUUGUCUCGGACGUGAUGCCUAUAUACAUGACCAUACCUAGAUAUUCUCAUAACUAUCCUCAAUUCAGUCAAUUGCUCAACAGUAAUUUGUUCACCCACCGUAGAAUACUUAUGCUCUUGAGAGAAGCCACUAGUGAAACCUAUGGCCCCCGGGUCUCUUUCUCAUCAUAUUAAUCUCCAUCACUUUAUUAUUGCUUUGCUUUUACUUUUUACUUUGCAUCUCUAUACCAAAAAUAUCAAAAAUAUUAUUUAUCAUCUCUAUUAGAUCUCACAUUCGUAAGUGACCGUGAAGGAAUUGACAACCCCUAAGAGCGUUGGUUGCGUUGAGCUAUUGUUUUUGUGUAGGUACGAGGGACUCGCGCGUAGCCUCCUACUGGAUUGAUACCUUGAUUCUCAAAAACUAAGGGAAAUACUUACACUACUUUGUUGCAUCAUCCUCUCCUCUUCGGGGAAAUCCAACGCAGUGCUCAAGAGGUAGCAACUGACCUGGCAUGUCAUGCCAGAUUUCAGGAAAGUCUCGUUGGAGAGGAGCGUUGCUCGAGUCUAGAUUGUGUCCACAUCGGUGUACCUGUGAUAUGGAGCUUCCGCUACGACGUCAUUCCGCUGCCACGUAGUUGUCCUGAUCGAGGCCCCUUUAUGUUCACUAAAUAAUGUAUAUAUUGUUCAGCCGCACAGGGUGUGCCGCAUCGCCUCGACAUCUGUUGUAAUAUAAACUCUGUUCCGCUAGUAUCAAUAAAGCGGUUGUUUUCUGUACCAAGAUGUUGUGUGUUGUCAGAAGACAUGGUCUCUGGGCUGGCAAUGCAUGGUAAACCGAUCGCUCUGAGCCGAGGUGCCACAACGCUUGGUAUCAGAGCCGUGCUGACUGUAGGCCACGCUAGACUGCGAUGUGUUAACUGGACGUUAGAUACACGUUUAAGUUGAGUGCCGGUAGUAAUUAUCUCAUUGAUCCAGAGUCUGAUAGUGUUGAUAGCCACCUUGCUUGUUAUGUCACUGCUAGCUAUCUCAUGAUCCACGAGCUGGCUCGAGAGCUGACUCGUGCCCGUACUGCUUUAGCCGCUACUUUAGUCACUUCUAGAUCCUCCACUACUCCAUCUUCUCUGGGAUUUACCCAUUAUAUUCCCGUCAGCUCUAGCUCCUCUAUUUCGCCGGUUACUCCUCCGAGUAGCAUGGGCGUCUCGGCCGUGAACCCUCUCCAUACUCCUGCCGAGUGGGUCUCACUUAUCGCUACUCCUGUAGCGCCGAUGCUUCAUCCUACCCCUGCCCCUGAGGGAGAGCCCUCGAGGCAGCGCCAUCAUGUUACCUUUACCCGGAGGUUUCCGUUAACCACGUCAGUUCGGGAUCCGAGACCGCGUCAGGGAAGGACGCCGCAGCACCAGCAGGGCAGUAGUAUCUUUGAGUAUUCGCAGUCGUCUGGAUGAUGUACGGAUGUAGUCGUACGAGUCAUGAUGUUUCGUUGCAUGUAUAAGAGUAGUUGAACCAGUCAUGUUGUUUAUCUUUCAUGUAUGAGUCUAUAUAUAAUCAUGUUGAGACUUUAUUCGCCGUAUUUUCUUCGCUCUUUUGUUUCUUCCGGGAUUUGUCGCUGGUUUUUCCCCAAUUUUAUUCUUGCAUGUUUCUCAUCUCGAUUGCGUUGUCUUGGGAAAAAUCCACAAUAGGAUGACGCGGGGAGGCAGCAGUAGCAACGUUCGUGAGGGAACCCCUGUUCGUCGUUCCGCACGACAGGCAGGACAUUCUACCGAACCGUACGUUCCGCCACCACCUCCACCGCCAAAUCCGCCCUCCACCGAGCAAAUUCUGCGUAUGUUUGAAGAAAGAAGGAACAAUGAUCUGAUUGAAAUAUUAAGAAGCGUGCAAGCUAUGGUUGGACAGAAUGGAAAUUAGAACGGUCAUCACUCAAAGCUGUCAGAUUUUCAAAGGACCAAGCCACCCAGUUUCAGUCAGAUUGUUGACCCAUUGGAUAUCAUCUUGAAAUUUACGAGUCACCGUAGGCACCUCGUCGUCGACGGGUACGUCUCCUUUCACUGAAUGCGCAUCGCUGGAAAUCCUAAAAUAAAUUCAGAAAUAAAUGAGAACGCCAGGACUUAAACUCUGAUGGGCUGGAGAUCCACAGUCCCUUUAACCAUCCGAUCACAGAUUGGUCCGCAGAUGCGUGGUAGCUAUUCCGGAAAAGUGAAGCAUGUGCACGUACGACAACGCAGCCAACCGUAACUGAAACCUAACUUGCUUCCAUGUUGGAGUGUCAGGGGCGUUGCCAGGCCCCAGACAACUGUGCCUUGGCCCGGGGCAUGGUAGCCAUUCUCUUUGGUGACUGUAGCCACAGUAAAAACUUUUUAUCAAAGCUAAAAAAAGCAAACACUUUUUACUACUGAAGUUGGCCUGGGCCCUUUGGGAGUGUCGACGUGGACUAGCUUACCAUCGUGCACCAAAGCUACCUCCCAAUUUAUAAGAGCCAGUGGUGCUCGUGCUCUAGUGCACCAUACACACACCUACACCUACGGAUAGGAUAGCAGCAGCUUGGUACGUCUCGUCCUCUUCACUUCACUUGUCUCUCUUCUCACCUCUGCUUCCUUCCCUAGCUUUGCCAUGUUUCACGAGGCUUGUUCAAGUUGAUGACCUGCGCUAAUGUUGUGUUGUGUGUGGUCCGGGGUGGUAGCUCCAAUGCCACUAGUAGCAGGACGCAGCUGAGAUAAUAACAUUUGCAUGUAUGGCUAAAUUUGAAUAGGCCUUUCGGCCGGAGUGAAGGUGUGUAUAUAUGAAUGAACGAUACGCUACGUAUCAAUGUUUGCUGGUCUCGUGUCCCUCCCUCCGCACUUUCUGUUUUCCUUUUGUAGCCUUGUAGGCACGCUGGCACAGCCAUUUUCAUUUGUCUCUUACAGGCUUCAUUAGUAUUUCAUCUGUUCAAAAUAAGUGUCUCAAUUUUAUACUAAUUUCAACAUGUGUUAAUAGCCCUAAUUAUUAGUCCUACUGUGUGAUGCAUGCUGAUAUAAUGGACAGAGUGGUAACAUCAGUUUGGCUAUUCCAUGUUCGAAAUAUGUAUCUGGCAACUGUGUGGCCACACGCUCUCGUUGUCGUUCGAUCCAAAUGGCCCCUGAGCGAUGCCCUGUACCAAUACGCCGUCCCCUGCAGCGUUCGAGGGCACCUCGCCUCAAGGGGAGGAGCUCCCGAGCACCAAACACGCUGCCCGUCUUCGUCGUUUAGCGUCGCUGCCUUCCCCUCCGGCGAGCCGUCGCCGCCGUCGCCCCCUCUGCUCCUUUUCAUGCCCUCCAUCCUCCUUCCUCCUUCCUCCUCUCUAAUCUCUUUCUUCUCGCUGCUAUCCCCUCUGAAAGGAGCUCCUCCGCUGUACCCCCAUCGCCCAGAUGGCCGCGACCUCCGGCGACUCCCUAAAGACCGCCGCCAAACCCUGCCAGUACCUCUUCGCCGGCUGACCGGCUUGAUCCGGUGCUCGCUGCCGCUGGAAACGCAGCUCCGUCUGACGGCUGCGACCUCCGGUGCCUCCAUGACGUCUGCCACCGACCCCGCCUCACCAGUCCGUCGGCCGUCUGGCUCGCUAUUGUGGAUUUUGCUCCCGUCGAGCUGCAUCGAAUCAGAGCUACUGUUUAGAGCAGAAAAUGGAAUUAUUCCGAGCUGCACGUCAGCUAUUUAAGGAGAAGGCUGGCACAGUUCAACUAUAGGAGGUAAUCAGGAUUGCGUUGGGUCUAUAGGUGAUUUUUUGCAGAAAGUUUGAGGAAUAUGGUUAGAUUUCUCUUGAGAUUUUUUCCAUGCAUUAUUCUCUAUUUUGGAGUUGAGUUUGCUUGUUAGGACACAGAGAUCAACAAUUGUUGAUCCGGGGUGGUGGUGUGUUGUCUUUUUUAUCUUGUCGUCGAAUCUAGGUGUGGUGAUUUGUGUACUGGUUUUGCAAGAAGUAACUUGUCUGUUUGAGAGUUUUUCUCUCUUAUGUUUGAGAUGCAUCUCAUGUUUGCUUUAACAAUCUUAUCUGCGAUUUUAUAUAUUGUAAGAUAAUCGGCCAAAACUGUAGGUAAGACUUGCAUAAAGAACAUGGUAACUUACAUAUCGCAAGUGUGUUAACUUACAUAGCCCCGGCCAGAUAACUUUAUGGACCUAGAAAUAAAUGUUUCCUUAAAGUUGUUGAAGCAUACUCGGUAGCUUUUAUCUGUAUAUCAUGAUAAUAUAUGCAUUGCAUACAUGAUAACUUGCAACACCAUGGUAAAUUUUACCUGACUUUUUUCUAAAGAAAAAACGUCCGAUAACUUUUCUGUGAAUAGCAUGAUAAUUUACGCACCGCAUUCCCAAUAAAUUAUAUACAAACAUCAUGGUAACGUUAACCCGUGGAAAUUUUUAUUGGAAACAUAUCAUCGGUAACUUUUGUGUAAAUAUGAUGAUAAUUUAUGGACUAAUUAUAUGUAAAUUGGUAAUAUACGCACAAGAGAGCUGGUAACUCACAUACAAAUACACAGUAACUUUUGACCAUAGAAAAAUGUUAUUGAAAACAUAACCCCAGUAACUUAUGUGAAAAUAGCACGGUAAUAUACGAUCUGUAUACCCGAUGACUUACAUAAAAACAACGCGGCAACUUUGAUCAAGGUUGUUAAAAAGUUGUUGAAAAACAUAACCCGAUAACUUAUGUGAAAAUAGCACGAUAAUAUAUGAACCACAUAUCCGAUAACUUACAUACAAACAUCACGGUAGCUUUGAACCGAGGGGGGGGGGAUUCGGAGAAAUACCACCCUGUAACCUAUGUGAAAAUAUCACGAUAAUGUAUGAACUGCAUACCCGACAACUUGCAUACAAACAUCAUGGUUACUUUGACCAAGAGGGAAAAUGUUGUUGAAAACAUAAUCCGGGUAACUUAUGUGAAAAUAGCACGGUAAUAUAUGAAACACCAAUAAUUUACGUGCAAACACUAUGAUAACUUUGACUAGGGGAAAAAAGUCGUUGAAAAACAUACCCCCUCCCGCGGUAAUUUAUGUGAAAAUAGCAGGAUAGUGCAUGAACCGCAUAUGUAGUAACUCACAUACAAACUGCGGUAAAUUUGACAAAGGGAAAAUGCAUAGUUGUUAAAAAAACAUACCAUAGUAACUUAUGUGAAAGUAGCAUGAUAAGUUGCAUACGACACACGUGUGUAAGUUUAUGUAUCCCAUGCGUGAUAACUUUUGACGCAUAACUUACGUACAAACACCAUGAUAACUCUUACCAAAGGGGAAAAUGUUGUUAAAAAAAUAUAACAUCGGUAACUUAUGUGAAAAUAGCAUGGUAACUUGCAUAGAACAUGCGUGGUAACUUAUGUAGCCCAUGCAUGGUCACUUUUGUCCCGGACAAAAUUCAUCGGAACAUACCAACGUGGGGUCUAGUUUUGAAGAUUAUCAUUGUGACAAAUCAUUUAUGUGAAAACGAUUUUGCAUUGGACCUACUACUAGAGUUACAAAACAUUUUGAAUUUUCAAAAUAGGGAAGAGUCUAGGAAGACAUUAGUUUUUGUUCUCUAGUGCAAACAUGCUUUUACACAUGGAGAAAGGUGGGAAAACCAUUUUUAUGCCACCGAUAACUUAUGUGGAAAUACUAUGAUAACUUGCAUAGAAUGGGCGUGGCAAUUUAUGUAGACAAGGCAUGGUAACUUUUGACCAGAAAAAAAGUCGUCGGAACAUACCAACAUGGGAUUUAGUUUUGAAGAUCUCGUCGUAAGGAAUCUUUUAUGUGAAAACGAUUUUUGCAUCGGACAAACGGUUUGAGCUAGAAAACAUUUUGAAUUUUUGAAAUAAUAGAGAAUAUAGGAUGACAUCAGCUUUUUUGUCCUCUAGUAUAUGGACGUAUGUAAUUAGGGAGAGGAAUGGAUGUAGAAGUAGAGUUAGUCACCCUAAUCGAUGCAUCCUAAUGCAUGCACACAAGCACGUAUUUAUAUGGGAGGAAUAAGUGGUGUGGUAGUUUUGCUAUCAACCACACGUGUGCAAAAUAUGACGGUCCUUCCAUGUUUUCCUUUCGACAAACAGAAAUAAAUUAAAUAGUUCACUGUUCUAUUUUAGAUCAAUCUCACUAUCUCAGCAUGUGAUACAGUUGUAUGAGAUCUAUUAUGCGAAUUUCGAGCAGGUUCUGCGCACCAAUUAUAUACCAACAUUAAAUUAUGUUGGACGGUGAUAACGUCCAAUCGUUAAUUUUAGGCGAUCGUACCGAACGAUUCAUCCACUAGUAUAGGAUGCGGUCAUUGUUCAUUUCCUAAUACAAAACCGAACGCAUUGAGCUGAUUCUUUCUUAAUUCUUGCAUGCAUGCAUAUAAGAUAAAAAUGAUGAUGUUAGCGAGGAUUCCUUCAAAUUCAAAAGUUCAAAAUGUUUUAUAGCUCAAACCGUCGCUCCGGUUCAAAAACCGUUUUCACAUAAUCGUCAUGACGAGACUUCUGAAACUAGAUCCCAUGUUAAUAUGUUCUGACGACUUUUUUUUUCGGGUAAAAAUUUAUGAGGCCUAGGAUAAGUAAGUUAUCAUGUCGGUGGUUCAUAAGUUAUCAUUCUGUUUACAUAGCAAUGACUGAGAAAUAAAAAUGGUCCAUCCAACCUCCUCCCCACAUACAAAUGCACGAGAGGACGAGAAAGUUGAUCUCCUCGUAGGUUUUCCAUAUUUCGGAACUUCAAAAUAUGUUUUGACGAUAUAUUCUUUCUGGUUAAAAGUUGCGUGUAUUGCCAUGUUGUUUACACGGGAAUUAUUGGGGUACGUUUUCCAAUAACUUUUUUCACCUAGUCAAAAAAUAAUUGUGGUGUUUAUAGUAACUCAUCAAGUUUGUGGUUCAUAUGUCAAUAUGUUAUUUACACAAAAGUUAGACAGGUACUUUUUUGACAACUUUUCCAACGGGUCAAAAAGUUACCAUGGUGUUUGUACUAAGUUAUCACGUUUGCGGUGGGUAUAUUACCAUGUUAUUUACACAAAAGUUACCGGGUACGUUCUCAACAAUUUUUUUCUUCAGGUCAGAGUUACCGCGGUGUUUAUACCUAAGUUAUCAGGUCUGCGGGAUGUAUGUUACCAUGCUAUUUACACACAGGUUUCCGGGGUAUGUUUUCAUUAACUUUUAUUUUCCUGGUCAAAAGUUAGCGUGAUGAUUGUACGUAAGUUAUUAGCUCUAUAGUUAGAGUGGUACAUUUGAACAUUUUUUCCUUGAGUCAAGUUACUGCAGUAAUUGUAACUAAGUUACCAAGUCAGCAUUUUGUAUGUUAUCAUGCUAUUUACACAGAAGUUAUCAGACACGUGUAUUGAACAACAUUUUUUUUCACGUAAAACUUACCACGGUGUUUGGAUCAAAGUUAUCAGGCAUGCAAUGCUUAUAUUACCAUGGUAUUUACACAAGUUAUUGAGGUUAUGUUUUACAACAAUUUUUUUCCGAGUCUUAAGUUAUCACAGUGUUUGUGCCUAAAUUAUCUAGUCUGCGGUGCGUAUAUUAUCAUGCUAUUAUACAUAAGUUAUCAAGGGUACGCAUUCAACAAUAAAUUUCUCCGGGUAAAAGUUAUCGGCGCUGUUGGUACCUAAGUUACUAUCACUAGUGCAGAAUCGGAAAAUAGCACCGAUUUGUAAGGCCCUUCAGUGCCAGUUCGGUAACCGGCACUAAAGUGUGGGCACUAAAGGCCCCCCUUUAGUACCGGUUCAGCACGAACCGGUGCUAAAGGGCAACCACAUGGCACGAGCCAGCUCCGUGGGCGCGCAGGACAUUAGUACGGGUUGGUAACACCAACCGGUACUAAAUGUUUGGGUGUGUUUUGGUUUUAUUUUUUAUUUUUACUUUAAUUUUGUGUUUCAAUUUAAUUUAGUGAUUGUUUUACAUUAUAAUGAGUUGUUAAAUCAUUAGGUGAAUGUACCGCGGAUUAGUUUGACUGGAUGCAUGUGGAUCCUAGUUAAGUCAUCAAGUAUAUGUCAUAGCCAUAUUAUAUAUACUUGAUCACCUAAUUAAGUGAUCGAGGUAAUAUUAAGGAUAUGGCAUAUACUUGAUCACUUAGCUAGAAUCCAUCCAGUUGAAACUAAUCUGCGGUUUCUUUCAUAAAUGAUAUAAUAACUCAUCAUCAUCAUCAUCAUAUUAAUAUAAAAACUCUUGCAUCAUAUAUAUCAUCACCAACAACACUAGCUUAAAGAAAAAACAUUCACUUGUACCAGAAGCAAAGAUAUCAUCGAGUUCAACAUGGUAAUGAUGUUAUAAGCGUUCAUAACACCACAAAAGCAAAAUCACUCUUUGAGAUUAAGUUCAGGACGAAGAACACGGACAUGAGAGGACAAGUACUAAGAGCAUGAACUAGCUAAUUAAUCACUCCUGCUGCUCUCUCUCAGGUAAAAUAGCAUAGAACAUGUAUAGCUUUCCUGAUUCAUCAUAUUGGAGCAUGCAAAUGAACCUGUCUCCUAAUCGUGGGUUGCGCUUCUAACUGCUGCCACCUAGUACUUCUCUGCGAUCAUUCACAAUUUUGCUCAAUUCUUUUACUAUGAAGCAUUCCUCGCUAUUAGAAAUCCUGAAUGCACUAAAGUGCAUUGUAGGAUAUCUUGGCCGUAAGCUAACAAUAUUCAUGGUACCUUUAGUCUCGAUCCAAUCAGGCACAACAUUCAUCUGGAGUCCCUGUUGAAGAACAUCGUAUAGUAACAUACUUAGCAAUGAAGUUUAGCUUAAAAAAUAAUGUAUGCAAAAGAUGCACUGAGGAGAAAUAGUAGAAAUCGUACAAUCUUUCCUAAAUAUAUGUGAUCGUAGUUCAGUACGAACACUAUUUGUCGCACGUUUUGAGUACUAACAUUUCUAAGUGCAGGAAAAUAAUUUGUUUUGACAGCAUCAAGAUUCUCAAGCCAUGAAACAUAAUGACUUGUCUCCUCGCAGUUUAGAUCAGCCCGGGGACAGUGGACGGUCCUGUCUACCAAGCGUCGGACAUGUUUGCUUGAUUGGAAAUAAGCUGUCAAUAUAAAUUGAGAUCUAUUAAUUCAACUGGUUCAAAUAAUCUCAUAUCGAAGAUAUAAAUAUGGUUGAGAAACUCACAUAAUGGUAGAAUUGGAGGCGUCUGCACAUCGACCCAGAUGUCUCUAUUACCUUCAAUAUCAUCUUCCGGACGAAUAUCAAAGGUGAUAACCACAUCUGACUCAAAUGCAUAAGCCUUGCAUAGUGCUUGCCAAGUUUUGCAUUCAAAAUAGGUGUAUGUGUCUGCAUUGUAUAAUUUGACGUUGAAGAUAUAACCAUGCUCGGUCUUAAAGUAAACUCUUUUUACCUUCAUAGUUUUGUUAGGACUGAAACCUAUCUUAUCCAAGACAAAAAUUCUUGCAUGGCAAGGGAUACGCUUGUAGAAUAGUGAAAAAUUAAAAUUAAAAGUUGAAGCAAAUGAAGCAUAAGUCAUGCUUAAUUACGAAAAAAGACUUGUCGUUGUGACUUACUGUAUCCACUUCGAAGUUCUCAUCCAGCUUGAUGCUGAAGCGUCUAUCAUCAACUAGAAAAUUUCUGCCACACAGGCCGCGCUGGUCUUCGCAGUAUUCGCACAUAAUGAAAUCGUGUUCGUCGUCAGACGACAUUCCUAUAUGUUCAUAUGUGAAACAUUAAACACUUAUUAGUUCUAUUAAUUCAACUAAUUCUGUUAAUUCAACUAGUUCAACUAAUUAAUUCAACUAAUUCAACUAAGCACUUACGAAAAAUAUACCUAAAUAAAGUAACUCAACUAAUUCAACUAACUAGUUCAACUAAUUAAUUCAACUAAUUCAACUAAACUAGUUUUAUUAUUUUUUNNNNNNNNNNNNNNNNNNNNNNNNNNNNNNNNNNNNNNNNNNNNNNNNNNNNNNNNNNNNNNNNNNNNNNNNNNNNNNNNNNNNNNNNNNNNNNNNNNNNNNNNNNNNNNNNNNNNNNNNNNNNNNNNNNNNNNNNNNNNNNNNNNNNNNNNNNNNNNNNNNNNNNNNNNNNNNNNNNNNNNNNNNNNNNNNNNNNNNNNNNNNNNNNNNNNNNNNNNNNNNNNNNNNNNNNNNNNNNNNNNNNNNNNNNNNNNNNNNNNNNNNNNNNNNNNNNNNNNNNNNNNNNNNNNNNNNNNNNNNNNNNNNNNNNNNNNNNNNNNNNNNNNNNNNNNNNNNNNNNNNNNNNNNNNNNNNNNNNNNNNNNNNNNNNNNNNNNNNNNNNNNNNNNNNNNNNNNNNNNNNNNNNNNNNNNNNNNNNNNNNNNNNNNNNNNNNNNNNNNNNNNNNNNNNNNNNNNNNNNNNNNNNNNNNNNNNNNNNNNNNNNNNNNNNNNNNNNNNNNNNNNNNNNNNNNNNNNNNNNNNNNNNNNNNNNNNNNNNNNNNNNNNNNNNNNNNNNNNNNNNNNNNNNNNNNNNNNNNNNNNNNNNNNNNNNNNNNNNNNNNNNNNNNNNNNNNNNNNNNNNNNNNNNNNNNNNNNNNNNNNNNNNNNNNNNNNNNNNNNNNNNNNNNNNNNNNNNNNNNNNNNNNNCGACGAGUGGCGGGGGCGGCGGGGCCUGCGAGGGCGGCGUGCGAUGGGCGACGGCGCGGCGACGGCGGCGAUGUCGCGCGAAGAAAUUGGAGAAGAAGUGGUGGUCGAUGAAACUUAAUUUUUCGUAAUUGCCAUACAUAUAGGAGGGGCCUUUAGUACCGGUUGGAGCCACCAACCGGUACUAAAGGCCAAUUUUCGCCAGGCCAAGGGGCGGGAAAUGGCCCCUUUAGUACUGGUUCGUGCCAUGAACCGGUACUAAAGGCCCAAUCAUUAGUAUCAGUUGGAGCCACCAACCGGUACUAAUGGUUGUGCGCUGCCACCGGCGGUGCACAAUGUUUAGUUCCACCUCGCCGAGCGAAGGGCGGCCGCACUAGUUUAUAAACCCAGCCGCGGCUGCUCCUCCGAACUUCUCUAUAUAGCAGGCUUCUGGGCCUAACUAGGGCGCGGUGCCCUGUGAGUCCGCUGGCCCUUCUGGGCCUGCAUUUGCACACCCUAGGUCUGGCAGGCCCACUCGGCAGCGCCCCAACAAAUUUUUUAUAUAGUUUUUUCUUUUCUGCAUUAUUUAUUUUCUUCUAUUUAUUUUUGAGUAAUUUGUAUAUAGUUUUUUCUUUUCUGCAUUAUUUAUUUUCUUCUAUUUAUUUUUGAGUAAUUUUUUAUAUAGUUUUUUCUUUUCUGCAUUAUUUAUUUUCUUCUAUUUAUUUUUGAGUAAUUUUUUAUAUAGUUUUUUUCUGCUUUAUUUAUUUUCUUCUAUUUAUUUCUAAGUAGUUUUUUUGUGACCCUCUCUACUCUUUCGCACAUGCUAUGCGGGUGAAAUGAUAAUACCAUUGCAAGUUUCAACAUUUUCAGAAUUCAUUUUGUAGUGAUUUUCAAUUUCACGGUCAUUUUGCUCUCUAAACAAUUAGGUAAAUGACUGAAAAACAACAAAUGAUGUCAGAACAUGUUGGAAAUUGAUGACGUCGCUUUGAAUGCUGCAUACUGAACACAAAAGAAGUCCGGAGUUCAAAUAAGUUUAAAAAACAUUGAAGUGCCCGUGUAACAGAUGAGUUCUCAUCCGAAAUCCUGAUACUCCGAAAGAGAUUGUCCAGUUUGUACACGAAGUGCGUCUAGUUUUUGUCGUGACCCUCUCUACUCUUUCGCACNNNNNNNNNNAACAAUUAGGUAAAUGACCAAAAAAUAACAAAUGAUGUCAGAACAUGUUGGAAAUUGAUGAUGUCGCUUUGAAUGCUCCAUACUGAACACAAAAGAAGUCCGGAGCUCAAAUAAGUUUCAAAAACAUUGAAGUGCCCGUGUAACAGAUGAGUUCUCGUCCGAAACCAUUUUACUGCGAAAGAGUUUGUCCAGUUUGUAUACGAAGUGUGUCCGGUUUUUGCCGUGACCCUCUCUACUCUUUCGCACAAGCUAUGUGGGUGAAAUGAUGAUACCAUGCCAAGUUUCAACAUUUUCAGAGUUCAUUUUAUAGUGAUUUUCAAUUUCACGGUCAUUUAGCUCUCUAAACAAUUAGGUAAAUGACCGAAAAACAACAAAUGAUGUCAGAACAUGUUGGAAAUUGAUGACGUCGCUUUGAAUGCUGCAUACUGAACACAAAAGAAGUCCGGAGUUCAAAUAAUUUUAAAAAACAUUGAACUGCCCAUGUAACAGAUGAGUUCUCGUCCGAAACCCUGAUACUCCGAAAGAGUUUGUCCAGUUUGUACACGAAGUGCGUCCAGUUUUUUUGUGACCCUCUCUACUCUUUCGCACAUGCUAUGCGGGUGAANNNNNNNNNNAUGAGUUCUCGUCCGAAACCCUGAUACUCCCAAAGAAAUUGUCCAGUUUGUACAGGAAGUGCAUCCAGUUUUUGCCGUGACCCUCUCUAAUCUUUCGCACAUGCUAUGCGGGUGAAAUGAUGAUAUCAUGCCAAGUUUCAACAUUUUCAUAGUUCAUUUUGUAGUGAUUUUCAAUUUCACGGUCAUUUAGCUCUCUAAACAAUUAGGUAAAUGACUGAAAAACAACAAAUGAUGUCAGGACAUGUUGGAAAUUGAUGACGUCGCUUUGAAUGCUGCAUACUGAACACAAAAGAAGUCCGGAGUUCAAAUAAGUUUAAAAAACAUUGAAGUGCCCGUGUAACAGAUGAGUUCUCGUCCGAAAUCCCGAUACUCCGAAAGAGAUUGUCCAGUUUGUACACGAAGUGCGUCUAGUUUUUGUUGUGACCCUCUCUACUCUUUCACACAUGCUAUGCGGGUGAAAUGAUAAUACCAUGCCAAGUUUCAACAUUUUCAGANNNNNNNNNNNNNNNNNNNNNNNNNNNNNNNNNNNNNNNNNNNNNNNNNNNNNNNNNNNNNNNNNNNNNNNNNNNNNNNNNNNNNNNNNNNNNNNNNNUCAUUUAGCUCUCUAAACAAUUAGGUAAAUGACUGAAAAACAAUAAAUGAUGUCAGAACAUGUUGGAAAUUGAUGACGUCACUUUGAAUGCUGCAUACUAAACACAAAACAAGUCCGGAGUUCAAAUAAGUUUAAAAAACAUUGAAGUGCCCGUGUAACAGAUGAGUUCUCGUCCGAAAUCCUGAUACUCCGAAAGAGAUUGUCCAGUUUGUACACGAAGUACGUCUAGUUUUUGUCGUGACCCUCUCUACUCUUUCGCACAUGCUAUGCGGGUGAAAUGAUAAUACCAUGCCAAGUUUCAACAUUUUCAGAAUUCAUUUUGUAGUGAUUUUCAAUUUCACGGUCAUUUAGCUCUCUAAACAAUUAGGUAAAUGACUGAAAAACAACAAAUGAUGUCAGAACAUGUUGGAAAUUGAUGACGUCGCUUUAAAUGCUGCAUACUGAACACAAAAGAAGUCCAAAGUUCAAAUAAUUUUAAAAAACAUUGAAGUGCCCGCGUAACAGAUGAGUUCUCGUCCGAAACCCUGAUACUCCCAAAGAGAUUGUCCAGUUUGUACAGGAAGUGCGUNNNNNNNNNNNNNNNNNNNNNNNNNNNNNNNNNNNNNNNNNNNNNNNNNNNNNNNNNNNNNNNNNNNNNNNNNNNNNNNNNNNNNNNNNNNNNNNNNNNNNNNNNNNNNNNNNNNNNNNNNNNNNNNNNNNNNNNNNNNNNNNNNNNNNNNNNNNNNNNNNNNNNNNNNNNNNNNNNNNNNNNNNNNNNNNNNNNNNNNNNNNNNNNNNNNNNNNNNNNNNNNNNNNNNNNNNNNNNNNNNNNNNNNNNNNNNNNNNNNNNNNNNNNNNNNNNNNNNNNNNNNNNNNNNNNNNNNNNNNNNNNNNNNNNNNNNNNNNNNNNNNNNNNNNNNNNNNNNNNNNNNNNNNNNNNNNNNNNNNNNNNNNNNNNNNNNNNNNNNNNNNNNNNNNNNNNNNNNNNNNNNNNNNNNNNNNNNNNNNNNNNNNNNNNNNNNNNNNNNNNNNNNNNNNNNNNNNNNNNNNNNNNNNNNNNNNNNNNNNNNNNNNNNNNNNNNNNNNNNNNNNNNNNNNNNNNNNNNNNNNNNNNNNNNNNNNNNNNNNNNNNNNNNNNNNNNNNNNNNNNNNNNNNNNNNNNNNNNNNNNNNNNNNNNNNNNNNNNNNNNNNNNNNNNNNNNNNNNNNNNNNNNNNNNNNNNNNNNNNNNNNNNNNNNNNNNNNNNNNNNNNNNNNNNNNNNNNNNNNNNNNNNNNNNNNNNNNNNNNNNNNNNNNNNNNNNNNNNNNNNNNNNNNNNNNNNNNNNNNNNNNNNNNNNNNNNNNNNNNNNNNNNNNNNNNNNNNNNNNNNNNNNNNNNNNNNNNNNNNNNNNNNNNNNNNNNNNNNNNNNNNNNNNNNNNNNNNNNNNNNNNNNNNNNNNNNNNNNNNNNNNNNNNNNNNNNNNNNNNNNNNNNNNNNNNNNNNNNNNNNNNNNNNNNNNNNNNNNNNNNNNNNNNNNNNNNNNNNNNNNNNNNNNNNNNNNNNNNNNNNNNNNNNNNNNNNNNNNNNNNNNNNNNNNNNNNNNNNNNNNNNNNNNNNNNNNNNNNNNNNNNNNNNNNNNNNNNNNNNNNNNNNNNNNNNNNNNNNNNNNNNNNNNNNNNNNNNNNNNNNNNNGAAACUCUGAUACUCCGAAAGAGAUUGUCCAGUUUGUACAUGAAGUGCGUCCAGUUUUUGCCGUGACCCUCUCUACUCUUUCACACAUGCUAUGCGGGUGAAAUGAUGAUACCAUGCCAAGUUUCAACAUUUUCAAAGUUCAUUUUGUAGUGAUUUUCAAUUUCACGGUCAUUUAGCUCUCUAAACAAUUAGGUAAAUGACUGAAAACAACAAAUGAUGUCAGAACAUGUUGGAAAUUGAUGACGUUGCUUUGAAUGCUGCAUACUGAACACAAAAGAAGUCCGGACUUCAAAUAAGUUUAAAAAACAUUGAAGUGCCCGUGUAACAGAUGAGUUCUCGUCCGAAACCCUGAUACUCCGAAAGAGAUUGUCCAGUUUGUACACGAAGUGCGUCUAGUUUUUGCCUUGACCCUCUCUACUCUUUAGCACAUGCUAUGCGGAUGAAAUGAUGAUACCAUGCCAAGUUUCAACAUUUUGACAGUUCAUUUUGUAGUGAUUUUCAAUUUCACGGUCAUUUAGUGAUGGGGUUAUGUACCUAGGGUAGGGUCAUGGACCUGAUCCAAGUAACUUACCCCAGGACAUCCUUAGAAGAGGUCGCCUUCCAGUCGACCAACGAGGAUUCACUCGACUGGCCUGAAGGACUCGACCACGAAGACUCACUCGACCACCAGGAGGUCAAGAGGCACUCUGCACUGCAACGGCCUGUAAUCAAGUAGACUUUAUGAUAGUAAAGGCACUUUAUGUGGGGCGUUACCAGUAACGCCCCAGACUUAACUCACCUUAAACCCUCUCCUGCGUGGGCUGGCUAGGGUCCUGGCGCACUCUAUAUAAGCCACCCUCCUCCACAGGCAGAGGGGUUCGGCACCUUGUAAUUCAUACAUUCAUAAUCCACUCGACCGCCUCCGGGCUCCGAGACGUAGGGCUGUUACUUCUUCCGAGAAGGGCCUGAACUCGUACAUCCUUUGUGCUUACAACCUCUCCAUAGCUAGGACCUUGCCUCUCCAUACCUACCCCCCACUCUACUGUCAGGCUUAGAACCACGACAGUUGGCGCCCACCGUGGGGCAGGUGUUUUAGCGAUUUUGUGGAGAAGUUGCGAUUCUUCCGAGUACUCUCAUCAUGGUGUCUGCUGGAGUUUUGGUCAAGGGUCAAGAGAUCCGUCUCGGCACUCUCACCUUCAUCGCCGACGACUCCGCGUGGCUCCAGGAGGCUCCACUCGACGUAGACGCGCUCCCCGUCCGCGGUGCGACGCAUUUUCGCGCAUGUGUCCGCGGCGUUCUGCUGCGGCAACCGUCGACCUAGUAUCGGUCGGCUCCUCCAUCGUCCACCCUCCCGGUCUCCCGCCAGCGCAAGCGCUCAGGCCGGUCGAGGCUUCAGCGAUGGGUGAGUCACGCGGUGGCUCGCCAAUCGGCCACUACACAAGUUGCGACAAUCGAGCCCAACGAAUCUCUCUACGGCUUGUUCGAUCAGUCGACUGGCUCCGGAGAGACUGCAUCCGAGUGCGGAAGCAGUGAUCCAGCGGCGGAAAUCUUGAUGGUCGACAGACCCCGCAGCCCUCCUGGCUUCGCCCGUGGUGGUGGAGCAGGUGACGGCGGCGACCCUGCACGAGACUACGAAGAGUACCAGCCCGAGCCACUCGACUCUCUGCAAAGAGAAGAGCUUCGCCGCAGGAACGAGGAUCCCCUGCGUAUUCCCAUCGCAGGAGAAACCCCCGAGGCUCGUGCCUUGGAGGAGGCGCGUCUGGCCAAUUUGGCCGAGCGCACUCGACUGGAGAACCUUCAACGAGCACUCGACGAGCGCGCGCGGCAACGAGUUCCCGACACCAGUCGACGUCAACUCUUCCCGCCGACUCAGGUAUAUCGAACCCCAAUUCAGAAUUUAGCAGCUGCGACCCGUAUAGCAGAGUCCAUUCAGCCUUCGCAGUCGGAAGCUGGCAGAGGUUUGCUGCAGAUCAGGGAUCUGCUCCGGGCAGCAGGAGAUUAGAAUUCAGCCGUGUCUCAGUCGCGCAACAGAAUUCACAGUCGAUCUGUCACUGUGAAUACGGUUUAGUCGGCUCACAGCCCCAGAUCGCCUCCGCGGCGCGAAGGGCGUGAGAAUCGGCGAGAUCAAUAUGGCGACAGACUCGACCGAGAUGAUAGGCGUCGAGUGCCCUAUUCCCCUCCGAGGGGUGGGUCUUACGCUCCUCGGCAGCCAGAUGAUAGGCGUCAGUACAGUACAGGGCGUAGGGUUCCAGUUGACCCCAGAGAGCCAGGCUUCGACGCGCGAUCCAUUAUCGUGCAAGGGUUGGUCGACCGGAACAGAGCCCAUCGAGGCGCACUCGACAGAGAUGUACCCACGAGCAGUCGAGUACAUGUUUCUGGUCCUGAAUGUUUCAGCAGAGCUAUCAGAGCCGUAGUUAUCCCCCCCAAUUUCAGGUUGGCAACAGGAGUCAGCAAGUUCACUGGUGAGUCUAAGCCUGAAACUUGGCUUGAAGACUACCGAGUGGCAGUUCAGAUCGGUGGUGGGAACGACGAGGUGGCCAUGAAGCAUUUGCCCCUCAUGUUGGAAGGUUCUGCCAGGGCAUGGUUGACUCAAUUACCUCCUAGCAGCAUUUACACUUGGGAAGAUCUGUCCCGAGUGUUCGUCAGAACGUUUGAAGGGACUUGCAAGCGACCAGAGGGAUUGACAGAGUUGCAAGUCUGCGUGCAGAAAACUAAUGAGACUCUCAGAGAGUAUAUUCAGAGGUGGAUCACUUUGCACCACACUGUGGAAAAUGUCUCUGAUCAUCAGGCAGUAUGCGCCUUCAAAGACGGCGUCAAGAACAGAGAACUGAGUUUGAAAUUUGGUCGAACCGGUGACAUGACCUUGAGUCGGAUGAUGGAGAUCGCUACCAAGUACGCCAACGGCGAAGAAGAAGACCGACUCCGAAGCGGCAAGCACAAGCCGAGUCAGUCGGAAAAAGGAAACACCAGUCGGAAACAGAAGCGGAAGGCUGAACCGGUAGCUCCUGGAGAGGCUCUGGCCGUGACUCAAGGAAAGUUUAAGGGGAAACCAAAAGGAUCCUGGAACCCCAAGAAGGUAAAGGAUAAAGAAGGGAACGACGUGAUGGAUAUGCCGUGUCACAUUCACACGAAGAAAGAUGAAGAGGGGAAUAUCAUUUACCCAAAACACACCACUCGCCAAUGUCGACUCCUGAUCCAGCAGUUUCAGGGAAAACAGUCUAAGGACAAGGAGAAGGAGUCGGACAAGGCCGAAGACAAAGAGGACAGUGAGGGAGGAUAUCCGCAUAUCAACUCCACUCUAAUGACCUUUGCAGAUGUGGAAAGCAGAAGUCGACUGAAAGUGAUUAACCGAGAGGUGAACAUGGUUGCCCCAGCAAAGGCAAAUUAUCUGAAGUGGUCUCAAACACCCAUCACAUUCGACCAAUCUGAUCACCCGACUCAUAUUGCCACCCCCGGGAGGCAAGCUUUGGUGGUCGAUCCAGUUGUCGAAGGCACUCGACUGACAAAGGUGCUGAUGGAUGGUGGAAGUGGGCUGAACUUAUUGUAUGCAGACACAUUGAAAGGUAUGGGCAUUCCGAUGUCCCGACUGAGCACUAGUAACAUGAGCUUCCAUGGAGUUAUACCAGGGAAGAAGGCCGAGUCACUCGGCCAGAUAGCUUUGGACGUAGUGUUUGGUGAUUCAAAGCAUUUUCGCAAAGAAAAGUUGACGUUUGAGGUCGUGGAUUUUCAAAGUGCAUAUCAUGCCAUUUUGGGGAGACCAGCCUAUGCACGGUUCAUGGCUCGACCAUGUUACGUGUACCUCAAAUUGAAGAUGCCCGGUCCCAAAGGUGUGAUCACUGUCACCGGUGAUAGGAAAAAGGCAGAGGAGUGCUUUCAGAAGGGCUCCAAGAUUGCCGAUUCCCAAGUGACAGCGGUCGAGUUCGAAGAAUACAAGCAAAACGCAGAUCCGAGUGACUUGCUGCGAUCCAAGAAGCCCGCCACAGAGUCUGCAUUCCAGUCGUCCGGUGAGACAAAGCCUGUUCACAUUCACCCGACCGACCCCGAAGCAGCUCCGACCCGCAUCUCCACAACACUCGACCCAAAAUAGGAAGAAGCGCUCAUCCAGUUCCUCCGUGAGAACUGGGACAUUUUUGCAUGGAAGCCCGCUGACAUGCCAGGUGUUCCCAGGGGACUGGCUGAGCAUCGCCUAAGAGUCGACUCGUCUGCAAAACCAGUCAAAGAGCAUCUCCGGCGGUCCGCCGUCCAGAAGAGAAAGGCCAUCGGUGAAGAAGUGGCUCGACUGUUGGCGGCAGGAUUUAUCCGAGAGAUAUACCACUCCGAGUGGCUCGCUAAUGUCGUCAUGGUUCCUAAGAAGGACAAGUCGCUCCGAAUGUGCAUUGAUUUCAAGCACAUCAACCGGGCCUGCCCGAAAGAUCACUUUCCUCUCCCUCGCAUAGAUCAAAUUGUUGACUCGACCGCGGGAUGCGAGAGGUUGUCUUUUUUAGAUGCUUACUCCGGGUACCACCAGAUCCGUCUGUACGGGCCCGAUGAGGUAAAAACAGCUUUCAUCACUCCAUUCGGGUGCUUCUGCUAUAUCACCAUGCCAUUCGGCCUCAAGAAUGCCGGAGCCACAUUUAUGCGAAUGAUUCAGAAGUGUCUACUCACCCAAAUCAGUCGGAAUGUGGAAGCUUAUAUGGAUGAUAUUGUUGUCAAGUCACGAAAAGGUUCCGACCUGCUCGCUGACCUCGCCGAAACAUUUGCCAACCUCAGAAGGUAUGAUAUCAAGCUCAAUCCAUCAAAGUGCACAUUUGGAGUUCCUGCUGGCAAGUUACUCGGUUUUCUCGUUUCCGAACGGGGAAUCGACGCUAACCCAGAGAAGAUUGGCACUAUUCUCCGAAUGAAACGCCCUGUGCGAGUGCACGAUGUCCAGAAGCUUACUGGAUGCUUGGCCGCAUUAAGUCGAUUCAUCUCACGACUCGGUGAAAAGGCACUGCCUCUUUACCGACUGAUGAAGAAGGCUGACAAGUUCGAGUGGACUCCAGAAGCUGAUGCAGCAUUUGCCGAGCUAAAAGCUCUGCUCUCCACCGAGCCGGUGCUUGCUGCUCCAAUCAGCAAAGAGCCUCUGUUGCUCUACAUCGCAGCCACAGGACAAGUCGUCAGUACUGUGCUAACGGUCGAGCGGGAAGAAGAAGGAAAAGCUCUCAAAGUUCAGCGCCCAGUGUAUUAUUUGUCUGAAGUCUUGACUCCAUCCAAGCAGAGAUAUCCUCAUUAUCAGAAGCUUGUGUAUGGAAUAUACAUGACCACAAAGAAGGUUGCUCAUUAUUUCUCUGACCAUUCCAUCACAGUCGUCAGCGACACUCCACUAUCAGAGAUUUUGCACAACAGAGAUGCAACUGGUCGAGUGGCCAAAUGGGCGAUUGAACUUCUUCCCCUUGAUAUCAAGUUUGAGGCAAAGAAAGCCAUUAAGUCCCAGGCGAUAGCAGAUUUCCUCGCCGAGUGGAUCGAACAACAGCAGUCGACUGAAGUUCACUCGGAGCAUUGGACCAUGUUUUUCGAUGGCUCUAAGAUGUUGAAUGGUUCCGGUGCUGGGGUUGUCCUGGUUCCCCCCAGAGGAGAUAAGCUCAGAUAUGUGCUCCAGAUUCACUUUGAUUCCUCCAACAAUGAGGCAGAAUAUGAGGCCCUCCUAUAUGGGUUGCGCAUGGCCAUUUCACUCGGCGUCCGUCGCCUAAUGGUCUAUGGCGACUCGGAUUUAGUGGUCAAUCAGGUGAUGAAAGAGUGGGACGUGAGAAGCCCAGCCAUGACUAGAUACUGCAGUGCAGUGAGGAAGCUGGAAAAGAAGUUCGAGGGGUUGGAGCUCCAUCAUAUACCCCGACUGAAAAAUCAAGCAGCUGAUGAUCUAGCAAAGAUAGGUUCCAAGAGAGAAGCCAUUCCGAGUGGUGUGUUCUUGGAGCAUAUACACACUCCGUCAGUCAAAGAAGAUCCUUUCACCGAAGAAACUCCGCAGCCCAAGAGCGCCACAGAUCUGACUGAAGUUGAAGUCCCAGCGGUGGUCGACUUGAUCAUGGAGGUUUUGGUGGUCAUUCCCGACUGGACGAUUCCGUAUGUCGCAUAUAUCUUGAGGAAAGAGCUUCCGGAGGAUGAGGAAGAGGCUCGACAGAUCGUCCGUCGAUCUAAGGCCUUUACCGUAAUCAAAGGAGAAUUAUACAGAGAAAGCGCGACUGGAGUCGGUCAGAAGUGCAUAACGCCAGAAGAAGGUCGACUCAUCCUCAAGGAUAUUCACUCGGGAACCUGUGGUCAUCAUGCGUCCUCUUGGACCAUCGUGGCCAAAGCAUACCGAGCCGGAUUUUACUGGCCCAAGGCGAAUGAGAUGGCAAAAGAGAUAGUAGAUAAGUGCGAGGGAUGUCAGUUCUACUCGAAUAUGUCGCACAAGCCUGCGUCAGCUUUGAAGACCAUCCCACUCGUCUGGCCUUUUGCAGUUUGGGGGCUGGACAUGAUCGGUCCUUUGAGAACAGGACGAAGUGGCUUCACGCAUGUACUGGUGGCAGUCGACAAGUUCACCAAGUGGAUCGAGGCUAAACCAAUCAAGAGCCUUGACACCGGUACUGCUGUUAGCUUCAUCAGGGAACUAAUAUUCAGAUAUGGAGUCCCGCACAGCAUCCUUACGGAUAACGGGUCGAACUUUGACUCAGAGGAAUUCAGAGCUUUCUGCGACUCCCAGGGCACACGGGUCGACUACGCAUCAGUCACCCAUCCGCAGUCGAAUGGACAAGCAGAGCGAGCUAAUGGACUGAUUCUCAAGGGACUGAAGCCUCGACUGAUGCGUGAUCUCAAACACGCGGCUGGAGCUUGGGUCGACGAACUUCCAUCUGUACUCUGGGGACUGCGGACCAUGCCUAAUCGGUCGACCGGAAGAACUCCAUUCUUCUUGGUCUAUGGAGCUGAAGCAGUCUUGCCGAGUGAUCUUCUCCACAAUGCUCCUCGAGUGGAAAUCUACAACGAACAGAAGCUGAACAAGCGCGGCAGGACGCAGUCGACCUUUUAGAGGAAGAAAGGGAGAUGGCUCUGAUCCGGUCGACCAUCUACCAACAAGAUCUGCGCCGUUUCCACGCCCGAAAUGUGAGAGGUCGAGCCUUCCAGGAAGGGGAUUUGGUUCUCCGAGUGGAUCAGCACAAACCACACAAGCUUGCUCCUUCUUGGGAAGGUCCCUUCAUCGUCACCAAGGUCCUCCACAACGGGGCGUACCGUCUUUACAACGUCGAGCAUAAUAUCAACGAGCCCCGAGCUUGGAACGCGGAGCUACUCCGCCCAUUUUACACUUAAGUUUUAUCACUCGGAUGAGUUGCAAUAAAGUACUUCUGUAGUUCAUGGACCUCAAAAUAAUAGUGUCAUAGUUCCUCCAUAAUUUCUGUCACUUUUUAUUUUUGUCCACAAUAAAAUUCCCCCUCAGUGGGUGACUUAGCCGCGAAUCCGUUUCGCCUAAGUUUGUAAAAAUCCUACCGAGUGGUGAGCCAGACUCUCACUCGGAGGCUUAGCUGUGAAUCCGUUUCGCCUAAGUUAUAAAAAUCCUACCGAGUGGUAAGCCAGACUUUCACUCGGGGGCUUAGCUGCAGCCCUGUGCUCGCCUAAGUUGUAAAAAAUCCUACUGAGUGAAGAGCAACCCUCCCACUCGGGAGCUUAGCUGCAGCCCUGUGCUCGCCUAAGUUACAAAAAUCCUACCGAGUGAAGAGCAACCCUCGGGGGCUUAGCUGCAGCCAUGUGCUCGCCUAAGUUAUAAAAAUCCUACCGAGUGGUAAGCCAGCCUUCCACUCGGAGGCUUAGCUGCAGCCAUGCGCUCGCCUAAGUUAUAAAAAUCCUACCGAGUGGUAAGCUAGCCUUCCACUCGGAGGCUUAGCUGCAGCCAUGCGCUCGCCUAAGUUAUAAAANNNNNNNNNNAGCCAUGUGCUCGCCUAAGUUAUAAAAAUCCUACCGAGUGGUAAGCCAGCCUUCCACUCGGAGGCUUAGCUGCAGCCAUGCGCUCGCCUAAGUUAUAAAAAUCCUACCGAGUGAAGAGCAACCCUCCCACUCGGGGGCUUAGCUGCAGUCCAAGCACUCGCCUAAGUUAUAAAAAUCCUACCGAGUGAAAAGCAACCCUCUCACUCGGAGGCUUAGCUGCAGCCAUGUGCUCGCCUAAGUUAUAAAAAUCCUACCGAGUGAAGAGCAACCCUCUCACUCGGAGGCUUAGCUGCAGCCCUGUGCUCGCCUAAGGUAUAAAAACCCUGCCGAGUGGAGAGCAACCCUCUCACUCGGGAGGCUUAGCUGCAGCCUCGUGCUCGCCUAAGUUAUCAAAAUCCUACCGAGUGGUAAGCCUGCCUUCCACUCGGAGGCUUAGCUGCAGCCUCGUGCUCGCCUAAGUUAUCAAAAUCCUACCGAGUGGUAAGCCAGCCUUCCACUCGGGGGCUUAGCUGCAGCCUCGUGCUCGCCUAAGUGGACUAAAGAAUAAGUCGAUUGCAGCACAGGCACCUUGCUUUGAACCUGCAAAAGACAUUCCGAGCCGAAGGCAAUCGUAUUCAAGCACCAAAUCCAAGUUUGAAUUGACAUCUAAAGGAACCAAAAGUGCUCAGGCGUCAAGCCUGUUAAGGUUUGUCGGUUACAAUUUCACUCGGCAUACCGAGGCAAAUUUAAAGCGUCGAGCCAGAAGAAGUUUUUUACCCCUCCUGUGGAGGGCUGGAAGGUGCAACAAAUUCGUCAAGGUCAAUUCCGUCGGCGAUCCGAGUGGCAGCUGCAAGGAAAGUCUCCAUAAAGGACCUGAAGUCGUGCUUCUUGGUAUUGGCCACCCAAAGGGCCGCCAGCUUCUCUUCUCGCGCAUCUUUGCAGUGGACUCGGGCCAGACACAGAGCGACAUCUGCACCACACCGAGCCGAGGACUUCUUCCACUCCUGCACUCGACCAGGGAUCGUGUUCAAGCGGGCCAUCAACGACUCAAGGUCAUUCUGAAGCGUCUCCUCAGGCCAGAGCGUCGAGUCGAUGCGAGAUGUGGCGGCCUUCAGCCUUGCGAGAUAGUCCACGACAGCUGCAACACGAGACUCCAGUCGGAAAACAUCCAUGGCAACUUCGUCGUUCACCGGAGAAUUGACGGGGUCGAGGUUUGGCUCCAGUCGGCUGGUUUCUUCUUCAAAGUUUUGACAAAAUUCUGCAAGGAUGAUCACUAAGUCAAGGAGAUAGUCGAAUGGAAAAAGCCACAAUUGGAAAUAUUUGCCAAACAUGGAGGUUUACCUUCAAGCAUAAGAAACAGCUUCUUGGCAAGGCCACUCAGGAAGGCCUCCAGUUCAGUUUUCUUCUCAGUCAAUUUGCUGACUUGGACGGUCAGGGCAGCUUUAUCAGUUUUCAGUCGACUGACCUCCUUGUUGGCAAUCCCAAGAGCAGCUUUCAGAUUGGUAUUGUCUUGUUCGAGCUUGGUGACUGAAGCUAACUUCUCGUCAGCAAGCUUGAUCUUCUCAGCUAGCUCAAGGUCUUUCUUCUGCUGGGCCUCCCUUACCGUACCUGCAAGUUACAGCAAGAUCAGAUUUUGAAACAAGCAAGGGGAAAAGCAGUCGUCAGGAUCUCACCAAACAUACCUUCGGUCUCCUCCUUUGCCUUUGUCAAUUUCUCCUGAACCAGCUUCAAGCUCAGCUCGACUUGAGUAGCUUUUUGUUCCAGCUCUGAGUAGCGAACCACAAGAUCACAAGAGUUCUGCGAAGAACCAAUCGACUAAAUGUCAAAAAUAAUUCACUUCCGAGUGAAAAGGGAAAAACACACGUUUCUAAGACUACAGCCGAAUACAAGCAUUCGACCGUAGUCUCGGGGACUACACCCAGUGGGUGCACUCAGCGUGCCCCCACUAAUCCUGUUGAAGACAAAGUCGACCAGUCGACCUCAAAAAAAAAAAA
rnacentral:lncRNA from 1 species